UUAUGGUGCUAAAAGAACAGCUGAAGCACUUAUCCCACUCCUCCAGUUAUCUGACUCACCGAGAAUUGUUAAUGUUUCGUCUGGCGCGGGGAAGUUAAAAAACAUACCAAACGAUUGGGCUAAAGGAGUUUUUACUGAUGCCGAAAACCUAACAGAAGAGAGAGUAGAUGAGGUACUGACUGAGCUUCUAAAAGAUUUCAAGGAGGGUUCACUUGAAAGUAAGGGCUGGCCCUCUAUGCCUGCCUACAUAGUCUCAAAAGCAGCACUGAACGCAUAUACAAGGAUUCUAGCAAAGAAGUACCUCAAUUUUCGCAUCAAUUCGGUCUGCCCUGGCUUUGUCAAAACAGAUAUGAACUGCAAUGUUGGCGUCUUGCCUGUCGAAGAAGGUGGUGCCAGGGUUGCGAAGUUUGCAUUGCUGCCCAAUGAUGGCCCUACUGGCUCCUUCUUUGUUCACAAUGAAGUGUCAGAUUUUUGAUUGAAGAUGAUCCAUUUAUGCAAAUUUAAUACGAUUCGCUUAUUGGGCAAUAUCUUGUACUGUAAUGUAAUUUUAAGUAUUUUGGUAUGUAUAUUGAUUGAAGGAUCAUGCUUAUUGUGUACACGUACCAAGUACCCUAGAAAGAUCAGUGGCUGGAAUUAAGGGGUUUGACGAAGUAGCAUUCUCCUUGUUCCAAUCAAGGGGAGAGAGUCUUGGGUAAGGCAGCCGCUUGCGAAAUCACACUCACAAAGAGUCAAGACCCACAUUCAGAGGACUCUCACCCUUAUUUAAGUGUGCUACACUGCUACCGGUGCGGCGGUUUUAUUUAAGAUUUUUUCCUAUCAAAAGGUGAAAGUUGUCACAAGUAAAUUAAUAUCCAUGUUUGUACAAGGAUAUUAUUAGUCAAUUAGAAAUUUUCUGGGCUGAAAGUCUUGCAUGCGAAACUGCUUGCCACUGCCACCACCAAAAUUCUUCAACAACGUGAGCACUUGCGUCACCACGCCCCCAUUAUUUAUCUGAAUAUGAUUCCCAGAAUUCAAGGGCUUUUGAAGAACAUUUCAUUAUAAAAGAAAAGAAGGCUCUUGCUGUUUAAUACACGUCUCAAUUUUCACAGACCGUCCCGUUUCGAAUCUAUCAAUGGCAGAAGUAACAAAGAGGUAGCACUUUAGACUUCUUUAUGCUUUGUUUCCUUGUCCGAUUUCCAAUCCCUUUAAUUGUUUUUGUUUCUAUGAAAUUGGUGUUUGUGUUUUCUUAGGUAUGCAGUUGUUACUGGAGCAAACAAAGGCAUAGGAUUGGAAACUGUCAGGCAGUUGGCCUCAAAGGGGUUCACCGUAGUCUUAACUGCCCGAGAUGAGAAGAGGGGUCUUGAAGCUGUUGAGAAACUCAAAGAGUCUGGCCUCUCUGGUCAAGUGGUUUUUCAUCAACUUGAUGUAGCUAACCCUGCUACUGUUGCUUCCUUGGCAAACUUCAUCAAAAUCCAGUUUGGGAAACUCGAUAUCUUGGUAUAUAUAUGAUCAUAGCUGCAGGUUUCUUCAAAAAAGUUUCUGUCUUUUGAAUCCAACUCGUAAUCCAAAUGCGAUUUAGUGGAAGGAGAAGAAAUAUGGCAUUGGAGAAUAAAAACGGCAAACCAAGUAAUACUAGCUUAAUAAUAUCAUCAAGAAGUUAAUCUUUGAAAUAAUUAGAAGUCCUAGGCUUUUUGAAGAACAAAACAAGUUUCACAUAACUACCAGUUGUGGAAGGUUUUACUUUCAAAUCUAACUCUAUGUCUGCCACUCUGUUUUUGUUUCUUGGAAUCUUUUCAUAUAUGAUAUAAUCCCUUUCUGUACAAUUUACAAGUACCCUAGUAAGAUCAGUGGCUGGAGUUGAGGGGUUUGGCAAAGUAGCAUAAUUAUUGUGCUUCUUUAAAGGGAUUGGCCUUUAUGGUUGGUAAUAGUAUGGUUGUAACAACAAAGAGAUUGUCAGAGUAAUCAGAUAGUGAAACAGACAGUGAAACAGUAUGGUUGUAUCAACUUUCUUUUCAUUUCAUUUUCUAUAAAAACAUGUCUGUUCUUUUCUUUGCUAAAAGAAAACAGAUAGUGAAACAGUUGGACUCUGCACAGGUGAACAAUGCAGGGAUUGGUGGAAGUAUAGUAGAUGGUGAUGCUUUAAAAGCUGCUGUAGCCUCUGGUGCCAUGGUAAGUUUUUUGCAUAAUUUUUAUCAAUAGCUAUCAAAAACUAAAAGCUUCAAUGAAUGUGACAAAGUUAGAAUAUAAACUGAUCUGUGGUUUGGCAAACUUUAAUCAACAUUUUUCUUGUUUUGGGUGGGUGUGUAAGUGGUGGGCAAUAGGCACCUUAAUAAUAAGUUUGCUUUUACUGAUACAGGAAAGAGGAGAAGUUGAUUUGAGUAAACUAAUGACUGAAACUUAUGAGUUAACAGAAGAAUGCUUGCAAAUAAACUAUUAUGGUGCUAAAAGAACAGCUGAAGCACUUAUCCCACUCCUCCAGUUUUCUGACUCACCGAGAAUUGUUAAUGUUUCAUCUUCCAUGGGGAAGUUAGAGAAGAUACCAAGCGAUCGGGCUAGAGGAGUUUUUACUGAUGCUGAAAACCUAACAGAAGAGAGAGUAGAUGAGGUACUGACCGAGCUUCUAAAAGACUUCAAGGAGGGUUCACUUGAAAGGAAGGGCUGGCCUUCUUCUAUGCCUGCCUAUACAGUCUCAAAAGCAGCACUGAACGCAUAUACAAGGAUUUUAGCAAAGAAGUACCUCAAUUUUCGUAUCAAUUCAGUCUGCCCGGGCUUUGUCAAAACAGAUAUAAACUACAAUGUCGGUGUCCUACCUGUCGAAGAAGGGGCUGCAAGGGUUAUGAAGUUAGCAUUGCUGCCCAAUGAUGGCCCUACUGGCUCCUUCUUUGUUCACAAUGAAGUGUCGGAUCUUUGAUUGAAGAAGAUCCAUUUAUGCAAAUUUAAUACGAUUCGCUUAUUGGGCAACAUCUUGUACUGUAAUGUAAUUUUAAGUAUUUUGGACACCAACAGAUCCUUUUGACGUUCUUUCUACAUUCAAUAAGAGGAUGGCAUAUAUGAUGUUUUAUCUAUGUAAAAUUUCACCAUAGCACACUGUUUAAAUAACAAAAGAAAAGGUCAGGUGUUUCUGGCCUAACCGGAAGCCUUCCCCUUUGGUUUUAGGGGAAAGACUUAGCUGUCCUAGGGUGACUACUCCUUGUUCUUUCCUGUAGCAUCUUGUGAUGCAUGCAAGUUUCUUGCGUUUUGAGAAGAGAGACAACGCUGCCAAAUAAAGGCUAAAAGAGUAUUGAGUAAGGCAGUCGCAUCUGAAAUCACAUACACAAGGAGUUUUUUCUUCUUUUAGAAAUGGAAUUCAUUCAUAGAAUCAAAGUAGCGUAUAUAGAACGACACGAAACAGUGACCUAGUUAAAACAUUGUUUAGGGACAAAUUCCAGGGUAGGAAAGAGUACCACAUAUAUCAUUGACUAACAAGAGAGUCUAAAACAAUCACGCAUGACCAAUGCUAGAGCAAGAUAAAAUAAAACAGCAAACUGACACAUAGACCUCCGACGAGAACACUAUAACACAGUCCAAUUGCCAAAAGAGUCAUACUAUGAAAUUAUAGUCCUUUUGACGCAGCGAGAUAUAGGGAUAGGGAGAUCGAACGAUAACCCUACAAUUAACAAUGUCGGAAUCCACCAACAAACUGAAAUCCAUCAGAGAAAUUGAGUAAAACCUCAAAUAUAUUGAUUGAAAAUAAGAUGAAUAAACUGACAAAUACAAUGCCAUGUGUUGGCUUAAAUAGAAAACAAAGAAACCCUAAAACAGUAGGAAACCCUAUGUUCUAGCAUAUUCCUAAACUUACCUAACAAGAAAAUAAUAAAAAUAAUAGCUCAAAAUCAUAAUAACAAAAUAAUAUCCUAAUAGAUAACUUAUUCUUCCAAAUAUAAAAUAAAACAUUAAAUUAAAUACAAAUCUUAACAGAAUCAUAAUUGUUUCAAACUUCCUUAAUCAAUUAGAAAAUCCCAACGAUAUGCCUUCCUUCUUUUCCUAGCGCCAUAAUUGACAUUUAAUUGGAAUUUUCCUCUCUUGCAUGAUUUUCUUACAACUUUGAGCCACUCCACUUUAUUUUAAUUAAUUUUUCACACUUCGUCCUACAUCACCUUUGCACAGCCACAAGACAUUGAGAGUACCCGACAGAGAACACAAUACACCAAGAAGAAAGAAAACAUCCACUAAGCACACCAUCUCUAGCCAACUCCAAUAGCAAUUGGUGAUGAAAGAAGAGAAAUAUGCGAGGAACAACACAAAGAAGAGACUAAUCACGCAAACAGGCCAGGAAAGAAAAUAAAAUAAAAAAGCCCUCAAGCAUGCUGUAUCAUCUGAACACUAACAAAGAAACCUUCUAUGAAAACGUAGUCCUUAAGACAGGCGGAGAAUCAAAGAUUAACUAAGAGGAGAACGAAGAAAACACCACGCAAUGCAACAAUAACAAAAUUGGUCUAGCCAUUUAACCUGAAUACAGGGAUCAAGCACAAGAGCAUUCGCCAGAUGCCAAGCCCACGAAUGCUCCAAGAACACAUUAAGGAAUGCUUCAAGAACACAUUAAGGAAGGCUCCUAGGAGAUUCCACUUGACCAAUCCCCAUAGGUUUGUUAGGACGGACACCAACAUCACCCAAAUUCGCAGUCCCAAUUGCAGAGUAACUAGCCAAACCUGUAAAGAUGGGUAAAAGUGAAGAAAACCUAUAGAAAAUCAUGAGUUUCAUUUGAACAUCAACAUAGAUAAAUAAAAUCAUGGCAACGGAAGCUUAAGCAUGCAUCUAUGAGUUCAACAACAAAAAUUUUCCCAUAUAUCUUUUAAGCCAAGUGAUGGUUGUACUAUUUUCCUAGAACCUACUUCUAAGAAGAUUGGAAGGAGGAGUUAUUUUUGGUGCGUGCUUUCAACCCUAUGAUCGAAUUCCACCAAAGUUGUUGAAGCUUGAAUGACUCCUUCAAAAACUCUAACUUGAGAGGUUCUCCAAAAGUCACCAAAAUAGGUAACCUCUAAGUCUCUUCACCAACUAGAGCUUGAGAAGAAGAUGGUGAGCUUAGUGAGUGGAUGAUCCUAGUAAUCCAUCACUAAGAUAGUAUGAAAGUGUAGAGAGACUUUUGGAAUACUAGAGCUUUCUCUCUCUCUCUUGAUUUUCACUAAUGCUAAGGCUUCAAAAAAAUGAUAGUCAUCUUUUACUUGAGUCAACAAGUUGACUCUAGUAACCAAAAGCCCAUAUGAACGCGUAUCCCUUGAAAUUGGGCCUUUGGGCUCAAUUUUGUUUAAGUUGUCAUACAACCCAUAAAGCCCAAUGAGCCUAGAAUUCAAAAUUCCCCGUUUAAAGCCUAUUCCAACAUUAUGUGUCAUUUAAAUUAAUUCCAUAAUUAAUUUUCCCUUAACAAAUUAACUAAGCUUAAUUGAUCUCUUCAAUUCAUCAUCUCCAUAACGGUUUCUCAAAUAACUCUAGUUUAACAGUGUGCGAUCCAAUAGGUUCUAAUUAGCAAGGUCGUGGGCAAUUUGAACUCUUCGUAAUUGAUUUGUGAAUUAAAACCCCCUUUUAAUUCUCCAUAUUAGCUAGGAUCAUUAGUCCUUAGGGCUUCAACCAUGCAUGAGUGACACCUAGCAGUAUGUCAUGAAUAUCCAAGCUAAGUAGAAUAAGUAGAGAACCUAUUCAGUUGGAAUUACAAUGCAAUACGGUCUUUCCCUAUUACAAUACUCUUAAUCUCAUUGCUAGGGCAUGGUGCGUGUCAAACCCUAAUGAGAUUGUCAAGUCUUAUAUGAUUUGUAUUAGUAUGACUAGAACAUCUUUCUAGGUCAUACCGAAUACUCUGAUAUGAGAUUUGCUUAAUCAUAUCUUCCGAGCAUUCUCAUUCUUUACUGAAGGAUACCGAUUCCAUGUUGUACACACACAUGUCUACAUGAGUUAAUCAAGAACCCCAACAAUGCUUGUACCACGUCCGUGAUUAAGACAUGUAUUUAUAGCAUUAUUAAAGAUCCACAACCUUCCCAUAAGACAAGCAUGGUGCCUCAGGACUAAGUACUAAUUUGCAUUAUUGCAACUUGGAGUUUCUUGUUUCACAUAUAAGUAAAAUUUCCAUAUAAGAAACUCUCGUUUGAUAAGUGUCAUUACAAUAAGAAAUGCUAGAGGUGAACAUGGCUUGAAGUUUGAAAUUAAUUUCUGACACAAUCAUUCUGUCCAGCCUUGCUUCAUAUAUAACAGAUGAAGAUAUCCAAAAGGGCAUCUUGUAUCCAUCUAUUCACAGAUAAUAUUCUCAGCUCCUUGCAGCAUUAAGAGCUCGUCUGAUUUUUAUCAAAAAUGGCAUCGCAAUUCUCAACUGCUGUAACAACUGAGAGGAGGGUGGGGCAACUGGUUGAUUGUAUUACCCGACUGUUUCUAUUGUAUAUGGUGCAGUAUCCGACAUAUAACAGUGGAGGUUGGAGCUGCUGUCCUGCGGGCAGCUGUUGCAGAAGAACUGGCCGAAGGACAUUGUGAUGUGGUUCCCAGAGAGCUCAUGUACAUGUCAAAAGUAAGAACUGAUAUUCAAUCUUCCCUCCACAAAAUACAAAAGCUCUUUUUAAAACACACAAAAUGUCUAAGCGAAUUUUGAUUUAGAAAGCAAGCUCUACAUGUUAGACUACUUUUGCAAAAGGUCUGAACAUGCCAAAGAGGACGUAUUUAGGUGAAGGCGUAUACAUACAGAAAAUGCUAUUCUAAUAAACAUCUAGUCAAACAACCAUAACCAAGAACCUUGAAAAUUGCUUUGCUAGCUUUUGCUUAUAUUGCCAGAGUUUUAGAAGAAAAAUUGUGAUUUUCCUGAAAUCUAUUUUGGUUUUUAUCUUCUUGUUACAGGAGGAGAGUCUGGAAUAUGUGAGUCGCAGCAUGUGGUUCCCAGUUUAUAGCCCUCUUGUUCAUGAAAAAUGAGGCUUGGUUUUGUAUUAUCGUACGCAGUAGGCUGUCGUUGGAGGCUAUAUUUUUUUUGCAGCUCAUAUAUAUCAAUAGGUCUGCAGCUAAGCAACUUAUUCUUGGUCUUUCUUGGAUUCGUAGUUUACAAGCUCAGAGAAGUAGAAGGCAAAGAAGGGAACGGAAAUAAGGCCCUCUUACUAAACUGAAAAGAAAGUAGAAGCCCAUUUGUUUGAACAAUGCAUAAUUACGUGACUAAUAUUAGUGCAAUGUCUUUGUGUUAACUUUCUUUUACGUUAACUUAAUAACAAAGCAAACUGCACCCAAAAAAAAAAAAAAAAGUUCAGGUGUUUUUGGCCUCACAGUAAGAUCCCAGUUGACUUGACCUUCCCCUUUGGUUUUGGGCCAAAGGACUUAGCCGUCCUAGGGUGACUACUGCUAGUUUCUAUAAACGCCGAGAGAGUCUUGUGUAGGGCAGCCACAUGUCAAAUUACACUCGCAAAGAGUUAAGACCUACAUUCAGAGGGUUUUGCCUUUAUUUGAGUGUGCUACCGGUGAGGUGGUCCUAUCUAAGAUUUUUAACUAUCAAUGUAUGUAUUUUAAAUCUAUUAGGGAUGAAAAUGUAAGGGAGAAAAAGACAGAAUUUUCGAAAGGUGGUGUGUAUGUAAGAUUUAUUUCUUAUGAAGUAAUUUGAUCCAUGUUUCUAUAGGAUAUUAUUAUUUACAUUAUUAGUCAAUUAGAGUAGUCAAAACCACCAAUCUUUGCAUGCGAAACUGCUGACUCUGCAACUGCCUCCACCAAAAUUCUCCAACAACGUGGGCACUUGUGUCACCACGCCCCCAUUCUUUUCCUUGAAAAUCUUAAAAACAAAAAUCCAAACAAAUCACUCUCAAGCUAACCACACACGAGCCAAGAACACCAAGAAGUUCUUGCUCAAUAGGAAAGAAUACACUAAAAACAAUACAAAGAAAUAAACCUCUCACAAACACAAGGAACCAAUAAAGAAGACUCAACCUUUGAAAUGGCUUGAUCUUUCAUCGACAUCUUGUGUAGCCAAAGAUGAGUUUAUCUCCACCUUCAUGGUGAUGUUCUCUAGUGUUUCUCUCUUUGUGGAAGUAUCUCUCACUUCUAUUUUAGCCUCUCUGAGCAAUGGUGCUCAUGGCUCCAAAUGGUGAGGCACAAAUGGCCACUCUUCUUUUGCAUGCACCAUUUCUUCCUUUUAUAAACCCAUGCAGCUCUCCAAAUGAGAGCAACCACAUGCCAACGAAGCCACGUGAUGGCCAGCCAAAGAAGGAAAAAAUUCCUUCAUCAUUGCACCACCACCAUGCAUUGUCUCUCACCAAAGACAUCAUCAUUCCAUGCAAUAUUAUUGGCCACCAACUUCAACAAUUGCGGCUUCCCAUUUUAAUCUUCCUCUAACAGGUUGGCCACGUUAUUGGUCAUUAGAGUAAUCAAAUUCACCAGUCUUUGCAUGCGAAACUGCUUACUCUGCUCUGCUACUGCCUCCAUCAAAACUCUCCAACAACGUGGGCACUUGCGUCACCACGCCCCAUUAUUUUCCUCGAAAAUCUUAAAAACAAAAGAGUAGUCAAAUUCGCCACUGCAACUGCUUACUCUGCUCUGCAAAAGCCUCCACCAAAAUUCUCCAACAACGCGGGCACUUGCGUUACCACGGCGCCAUUUUUUUCAUUGAAAAUCUUAAAAACAAAAAUCCAAACAAAUAUUGGUCCCUCUUUCACCACAAUUUCCAAUUACUUCUAAGAAAACAUUAGAAGCUUCCUCCCUCCAGUGUGUACAUAGGAACAAAAGAAUCAAUAAUUUUCUUCUUCUUACAAAGGCUGCUGUCCUCCACCAUGAAGAAAUAAAUUUGAUUUCUUCUUACAAAGGUUCUUAGACACGUGGGUGCAAUUUGGGCUAACAAAAUUAACAAGGGCUGCUCAAAACACAUCACAUGCCAUCAAAUUUGAACCAAUUUCAACACAAAAUUCAAAGGAUUUCCAAGAACAUUUCACUAUAAAAGAAAAGAAGGGUUCCUUCUGUUUAAUACACAUCUCAAUUCUCACAGACCGUCCCGUUUCGAAUAUAUCAAUGGCAGAAGCAACAAAGAGGUAGCACUUUAGACUUCUUUAUGCUUUGUUUCCUUGCCCGAUUCCCAAUCCCAUUAAUUGUUUUUGUUUCUAUGAAUUUGGUGUUUGUAUUUUCUUAGGUAUGCAGUUGUUACUGGAGCAAACAAAGGCAUGGGAUUGGAAACUGUAAGGCAGUUGGCCUCAAAUGGGUUCACCGUAGUCUUAACUGCCCGAGAUGAGAAGAGGGGUCUUGAAGCUGUUGAGAAACUCAAAGAGUCUGGCCUCUCAGGUCAAGUGGUUUUUCAUCAACUUGAUGUGGCUAACCCUGCUACUGUUGCUUCUUUGGCAGACUUCAUCAAAACCCAGUUUGGGAAACUCGAUAUCUUGGUAUGUAUAUGAUCCUAGCGGCAAGUUUCUUGAAAAAGUUUAUCUUGGUAUGUAUAUGAUCCUAGCGGCAGGUUUAAUAGAAGGAGAUUAAAUAUGGAAUCAUAUAGAAAAUGAAAUUGGAGAAUAAAAAUAGCAAACCAAGUAAUAACUAGCGUAAUAAUAUCAUCAACAAGUUAAUCUUUGAAAUGAUUAGAAGUCUUCGGCUUUUUGAAGAACAAAACAAGAUUCACGUAACUACCAGUUGUGGAAGAUUUUACUUUCAAAUCUAACUCUAUGUCUGCCACUCUGUUUUUGUUUCUCGGAAUCUUUUCAUAUUUGAUAUGAUCCCUUUCUGUACAAUUUACAAGUACCCUAGAAAGAUCAGUGGCUGGAAUUAAGGGGUUGGCAAAGUAGCAUAAUUAUUGUGCUUCUUUAAAGGCAUUGGCCUUUAUGGUUGGUAUGGUUGUAAAAACAAAGAGAUUGUCAGAGUACUCAGAGGAUCUAUCAACUUUCUUUUCAUUUCAUUUUCUAUAUAUAAAAAAAUCUGUUCUUUUCUUUGCUAAAAGGAAACAGAAAGUGAAACAGUUGGACUCUGCACAGGUGAACAAUGCAGGGAUUUAUGGAAGCAUAUUAGACGGUGAUGCUUUUAAAGCUGUUAUAGCCUCUGGUGCCAUGGUAAGUUUUUUGCAUAAUUUUUAUCAUAUAAAAAACUAAAAGCUUCAAUGUAUGUGCCAAAGUGAGAAUUUAAACUGAUCUGUAAGUGGUGGGCAAUAAGCACCAUAAUAAUAAGUUUGUUUUGGCUGAUACAGGAAAGAGGAGAAGUUGAUUUGAGUAAACUAGUGACUGAAACUUAUGAGUUUGCAGAAGAAUGCUUGCAAAUAAACUAUUAUGGUGCUAAAAGAACAGCUGAAGCACUUAUCCCACUCCUCCAGUUAUCUGACUCACCGAGAAUUGUUAAUGUUUCGUCUGGUGCGGGGAAGUUAAACAACAUACCAAGCGAUUGGGCUAAAGGAGUUUUUACUGAUGCCAAAAACCUAACAGAAGAGAGAGUAGAUGAGGUACUGACUGAGUUUCUAAAAGAUUUCAAGGAGGGUUCACUUGAAAGUAAAGGCUGGCCUUCUUCUAUGCCUGCCUAUACAGUCUCAAAAGCAGCACUGAACGCAUAUACAAGGAUUCUAGCAAAGAAGUACCUCAAUUUUCGUAUCAAUUCGGUCUGCCCUGGCUUUGUCAAAACAGAUAUAAACUGCAAUGCCGGCGUCUUGCCUGUCGAAGAAGGUGGGGCCAGGAUUGUGAAGUUAGCAUUGCUGCCCAGUGAUGGCCCUACUGGCUCCUUCUUUGUUCACAAUGAAGUGUCAGAUCUUUGAUUGAAGAUGAUCCAUUAUGCAAAUUUAAUACGAGUCACUUAUUGGGCAACAUCUCGUACUGUAAUGCAAUUUUAAGUAUUUUGGUAUGUAUAUUGAUUGAAGGAUCUAGUGCAUUGUUUACAUUUCUACCAUUCAUAUGUUAAUGUGCAAAAAUGGUAAACUGAUUUAGUAUGUAAUUGCUGGUUUAGUGUUAUACUUAGCUUAUAGGCUAAGCUGUCUAUAAUAGUCAAAAUGGUUUGUUAAGUCUUAUAGGACUUGACAGGACAGGUGUCAUAGUCUUACUAAUAGUGUAGUUGGAUGGUUGAGAUUGAAGCUAGGAUUUGUCUAGCUCUCUCUCUCUUCUAACAGUAAUAUGAGCUGUGAGUGAAACAGCUCGAUAUACCCAACGAAAUACAAAAAGUUUUACCGAGCAUUUUAUUUCCUUCACUCUCUUUUUCAAUAUACUCAUUCCUCCAUUUUUAUCAGAAGCUUAUUAAACACUAACAUGGCCUCAGAGCCAGGUUGGGUCUGAAUUUCUGGGCAUUGUGACUGUGAGGUUAGGUUUGAAUCUGUGAGCAAAAGCUCGUUGUGUGAUUCUUGAGCUCAAAUCAGUAAUCUAGACUAACAUGUCUGGAUCUGGAGGAGGAGAACUCAGGGCACCCAUUUUUAAUGGUGAAAAUUUCAAUUUCUGGCAAAUCAAAAUGAAAACCAUCUUCCGUUCGCACGAGCUGUGGGAUCUUGUGGAGAAUGGGUACAAAACUCCGACGAAGGAGGGGGAGGAGCUCACGGAGGUAGAGAGGAAGCUGAUGCGUGAGAACUUGGUGAAGGACGCUAGAGCUCUGGGUAUCAUCCAAGGGGCUGUAUCAGAUCAAAUUUUUCCACGAAUUGCAACUUAGGAAUCUACAAAGGCUGCGUGGGAUAUUCUAAAACAAGAAUUUGUGGGUGAUAAGCAGGUAAGAUCUGUGAAACUUCAGGGUCUUAGGCGUGAUUUUGAAUAUACUCGGAUGAGUGAUAAUGAAUCAUUGUUUGGAUAUAUUGCUAAGUUGUUUGAUCUGAUCAACCAAAUGAAGAGCUAUGGUGAGGAUCUGAGCAAUCAACGAAUUGUUCAGAAACUACUUAUUAGUCUGCCUAAGUCCUAUGAUAGUAUUGCAGCUGUGAUAGAGAAUACAAAAGAUUUAGACACUAUUGAUGCUCAGGAUGUUGUUGCUAUUUUAAAAGGAUAUGAGCAGAGGCAGGGGCGGAACUAUUCAUAGGCCUGAGAUGGCCUGGGCCCCCCCAUCAUCUUCUAAACUCUUUGAAUGUAUAAAGAGUAUAGCAUAGAUUGCACAAAAAAUCCUAUAAUUUUAAAGCUUGUGGCCCCCCCAAAUAUUAAACUCUACCUCCGCCACUGAGCAGAGGCUUGAUAGGCAUGGUGACAAUAGUGCAGAGAAGGCUUUUGCUAGCUUCAACGUUGGAUCAAAGGCAACACGGUCUAAUGGUCACACCAGUAAGUCUCAGAAGAAUGCCAAACCACACGGGCAGCAAUGGGGCAACAAGGGUGAUGGAGGUAAUAAGUCUAAUUCCUCAAUGAAAAAUGAGACAUACAACAUUGGAAAUAAAUGCAAAUUCUGUGAUAAAUUGCACUAUGGAGAGUGUUGGUUUAAGAACAAGGUCAAGUGUCACAAGUGUAACAAAAUUGGGCAUAUUGCAAAAUAUUGUCAUACAAACAAGGCUGUGCAGCAUAUGAACUUUGCUAAUCAUGUUGAAGAAACAGGAAACUUAUUCUUUGCUAAUCAUUCUGGAGAAGUAAAGAAGAUGAGUGAUGAAUGGUACAUAGAUAGUGGAUGUAGCAAUCAUAUGACAUCCAGGGAAGACUUGCUUGUAGACAUUGUCAGAGAAGUGAAAGCAAAGGUUCAAGUAGGCAAUGGAGUUUUGGUUGAAGUGGCAGGAAAAGGGACAUUGAUCAUUGAAACAAUGAAGGGUAAGAGGUAUAUAAAGGAGGUUAUGCUUGUACCUAGUCUAGCUGAAAAUUUGCUAAGUGUAGGACAGAAGACAGAGCAUGGCUAUUUUCUUGUAUUUGGAGAUCACAAGGUUGACAUCUUCGAUGAUAGUUCCUUAAGUAACAUGGUGGUAAGUGUAAAGCAAAAGGGGAACAGGUGUUUUCCUUUAACUUUCAACAAAAUCAAGGUGAUUGCCUUGAAAACAAAUGUGCAAGAAUGCUCCAAGAUAUGGCACAAGAGGUUUGGGCACUUAAACUUUCGAAGCCUCAAGCUACUGCAGAGCCAAGCAAUGGUAUUGGGGCUGCCUGAAAUCCAAAACGGUGAAGUGUUGUGCCACAGUUGUGUAUUGUGGAAGGGUCACAGGGAGCCAUUUCCUAAGGAAUCAAAGUGGAGAGCCAAGGAGCCAUUAGAAUUGAUUCAUUCAGACUUGUGUGGUCCAAUGCAAACAGCAAGCCUAGGUGGAAAUAAAUAUUUUAUCACAUUCAUAGAUGAUUUUUCAAGGAUGUGCUGGGUUUAUUUUCUGAGAAACAAGUCCGAGACAUUCCAUGUGUUCAAGAAAUUCAAAGUAAUGGUGGAGCUUCAAUCCGGAUACCAUGUGAAGAGGUUGAGGAUUGAUCGGGGAGGAGAAUACAUCUCAGCUGAUUUUCUCCAGUUUUGUGAAAAUCUGGGAAUAGAAAGGCAACUCACAGUUGCUUAUUCUCCACAGCAAAAUGGCGAUGCGGAGAGGAAAAACAGAACCAUUGUAGAAAUGGCAAAGUGCAUGAUUCAUGACAAGGAGCUUCCCUACACGCUUUGGUGUGAGGCAGUGAAUACCUCUGUGUAUUUACUUAAUAGAAGUCCAACCCGAGCUUUGGAGAAUACUACACCUUUUGAGAAGUUUAGUGGGAGAAAGCCUGGAGUUAAACAUCUCAAGGUGUUUGGCUCGGUGUGUUACUCACUUAUUCCUGGAAAGUUAAGGCAUAAGCUAGAAGCAACAAGUGCCAUAUGAGUUUUUAUUGGUUAUGGUAGAUGUGAGAAGGGAUAUAGAAUAUUGAAUCCUGCAACUCAGAAGGUUUUGCUGUCAAGGGAUGCGGUUUUUGAUGAGCAUGGAAAAUGGAACUGGGAGCAACACAAAGUGAAAGAAAUCUGCAUUCCACUUCCUACAGAUGAACUGUCAGAUAUGAGAACAGCUGAAUCAAAAGAAGAACCUACUUUCCAAGAACCUGAAACAGAAGAAGAACCUGCAGAUGAUCCCUCAGUUGAUGACACACCUUUGAGGUACAGAAAUUUGAGUGAGAUCUAUGCAAGUUGCCAUUCAUGGAUAGUGGAGCCUGAGAACUUUGAUGAAGCUGCACGGGAUGAAGCUUGGAAGAAGGCAAUGGAAAAUGAGAUGAACAUGGUUGAGAAGAAUCAGACGUGGGAAUUGGUAAAUAGACCUUUCAACAAACCUAUAAUUGGAGUAAAAUAGGUGUACAAGACUAAGUUGAACUUGGAUGGUUCGGUUCAAAAGCAUAAAGCUAGACUAGUUGCAAAGGGCUAUGCACAAAAGCCUGGAAUAGAUUAUAAUGAAACCUUUGCACCAGUGGCAAGGUUGGAUACUAUACGAACUCUCAUUGCCUUGGCUGCAAAGAAUAGUUGGAAAAUGUAUCAAUUAGAUGUGAAAUCAGCUUUUCUAAAUGGAGUGCUUCAAAAGGAGGUGCAUGUAGAGCAGCCCGAUGGUUUUAUUGUGCAAGGAGAAGAGGAUAAAGUGUAUAAAUUGCACAAAGCCUUGUAUGGCUUGAAACAGGCUCCUAGAGCCUGGUAUGGAGAAAUAGACUCUUAUCUCGUGCAAUGUGGUUUUAAAAGGAGCACAAGUGAGGCAACAUUAUAUGUUAAAGGCAGGGGAACCUCGGAUUUGGUCAUAGUAUCUAUCUAUGUGGAUGAUAUAGUUUAUACAGGGAAUUCUCAAGAGCUAAUGCAAGAUUUCAAGACUAAUAUGAUGCAGAGGUAUGAGAUGACUGAUUUGGGUUUGCUACAUCACUUUCUAGGAAUGGGAAUUAUCCAAAGUGAAGACUACAUUUUCAUAUACCAGAAGAAAUAUGCUUCCACACUUUUGGAAAGGUUUGGUCUGCAGGAUUGUAAACCGGUUGGUAUUCCUCUUGUACCAACUGAUAAAUUGAAGAGAGAUGAUGAAAGUGGAGCUUCAAAUGAAGCUGAAUACAGAAAACUAGUGGGAAGUCUACUCUACCUCACUUUCUCGCUCUGAUAAAACUCUUUUAAGAUAAAGCUCUCACACUCUCAAAUUUCUCUCUCUCUAUUUUCUCUUUGGAUACCGUAUUCUACAACUGAAUGAGCAAGCCUAUUUAUAGUCAAAUUGGGUGGCUUCAUGUGCAUCUCCAAAGUCUUCUUCUCCCAACAUCAUCAUUUUCCUUUUGACUAUCAUUUUCUUAUUUUCUUUGUGUGGGCUCCAUCUACAUCCUUUACAACAUAAUCAACAAUUUUCUACUUCUUAUUAUUUAUUUGAAUAUGAACCUCAAAAUUCAAAGGCCUUCCAAGAAAAUUUCACUAUAAAAGAAAAGAAGGCUCUCCUUCUAUUUAAUACACAUCUCAAUUCUCACAGGCCGUCCCGUUUCGAAUCUAUCAAUGGCAGAAGCAACAAAGAGGUAGCACUUUAGACUUCUUUAUGCUUUGUUUCCUUGUCCGAUUUCCAAUCCCUUUAAUUGUUUUUGUUUCUAUGAAAUUGGUGUUUGUGUUUUCUUAGGUAUGCAGUUGUUACUGGAGCAAACAAAGGCAUAGGAUUGGAAACUGUCAGGCAGUUGGCCUCAAAGGGGUUCACCGUAGUCUUAACUGCCCGAGAUGAGAAGAGGGGUCUUGAAGCUGUUGAGAAACUCAAAGAGUCUGGCCUCUCUGGUCAAGUGGUUUUUCAUCAACUUGAUGUAGCUAACCCUGCUACUGUUGCUUCCUUGGCAAACUUCAUCAAAAUCCAGUUUGGGAAACUCGAUAUCUUGGUAUAUAUAUGAUCAUAGCUGCAGGUUUCUUCAAAAAAGUUUCUGUCUUUUGAAUCCAACUCGUAAUCCAAAUGCGAUUUAGUGGAAGGAGAAGAAAUAUGGCAUUGGAGAAUAAAAACGGCAAACCAAGUAAUACUAGCUUAAUAAUAUCAUCAAGAAGUUAAUCUUUGAAAUAAUUAGAAGUCCUAGGCUUUUUGAAGAACAAAACAAGUUUCACAUAACUACCAGUUGUGGAAGGUUUUACUUUCAAAUCUAACUCUAUGUCUGCCACUCUGUUUUUGUUUCUUGGAAUCUUUUCAUAUAUGAUAUAAUCCCUUUCUGUACAAUUUACAAGUACCCUAGUAAGAUCAGUGGCUGGAGUUGAGGGGUUUGGCAAAGUAGCAUAAUUAUUGUGCUUCUUUAAAGGGAUUGGCCUUUAUGGUUGGUAAUAGUAUGGUUGUAACAACAAAGAGAUUGUCAGAGUAAUCAGAUAGUGAAACAGACAGUGAAACAGUAUGGUUGUAUCAACUUUCUUUUCAUUUCAUUUUCUAUAAAAACAUGUCUGUUCUUUUCUUUGCUAAAAGAAAACAGAUAGUGAAACAGUUGGACUCUGCACAGGUGAACAAUGCAGGGAUUGGUGGAAGUAUAGUAGAUGGUGAUGCUUUAAAAGCUGCUGUAGCCUCUGGUGCCAUGGUAAGUUUUUUGCAUAAUUUUUAUCAAUAGCUAUCAAAAACUAAAAGCUUCAAUGAAUGUGACAAAGUUAGAAUAUAAACUGAUCUGUGGUUUGGCAAACUUUAAUCAACAUUUUUCUUGUUUUGGGUGGGUGUGUAAGUGGUGGGCAAUAGGCACCUUAAUAAUAAGUUUGCUUUUACUGAUACAGGAAAGAGGAGAAGUUGAUUUGAGUAAACUAAUGACUGAAACUUAUGAGUUAACAGAAGAAUGCUUGCAAAUAAACUAUUAUGGUGCUAAAAGAACAGCUGAAGCACUUAUCCCACUCCUCCAGUUAUCUGACUCACCGAGAAUUGUUAAUGUUUCAUCUUCCAUGGGGAAGUUGGAGAAGAUACCAAGCCAUCGGGCUAGAAGAGUUUUUACUGAUGCUGAAAACCUAACAGAAGAGAGAGUAGAUGAGGUACUGACCGAGCUUCUAAAAGACUUCAAGGAGGGUUCACUUGAAAGGAAGGGCUGGCCUUCUUCUAUGUCUGCCUCUACAGUCUCAAAAGCAGCACUGAACGCAUAUACAAGAAUUCUAGCAAAGAAGUACCUCAAUUUUCGUAUCAAUUCAGUCUGCCCGGGCUUUGUCAAAACAGAUAUAAACUACAAUGUCGGUGUCCUACCUGUCGAAGAAGGGGCUGCAAGGGUUAUGAAGUUAGCAUUGCUGCCCAAUGAUGGCCCUACUGGCUCCUUCUUUGUUCACAAUGAAGUGUCGGAUCUUUGAUUGAAGAAGAUCCAUAUAUGCAAAUUUAAUACGAUUCGCUUAUUGGGCAACAUCUUGUACUGUAAUGUAAUUUUAAGUAUUUUGGACACCAACAGAUCCUUUUGACGUUCUUUCUACAUUCAAUAAGAGGAUGGCAUAUAUGAUGUUUUAUCUAUGUAAAAUUUCACCAUAGCACACUGUUUAAAUAACAAAAGAAAGGGUCAGGUGUUUCUGGCCUAACCGGAAGCUCCGAGCUGGCUUGAUAACCUUCCCCUUUGGUUUUAGAGAAAGACUUAGCUGUCCUAGGGUGACUACUCCUCUUUCUUUCCUGUAGCAUCUUGUGAUGCAUGCAAGUUUCUUGCGUUUUGAGAAGAGAGACAACGCUGCCAAAUAAAGGCUAAAAGAGUAUUGAGUAAGGCAGUCGCAUCUGAAAUCACAUACACAAGGAGUUUUUUUUCUUUUAGAAAUGGAAUUCAUUCAUAGAAUCAAAGUAGCGUAUAUAGAACGACACAAAACAGUGACCUAGUUAAAACAUUGUUUAGGGAUAAAUUUUAGGGUAGGAAAGAGUACCACAUAUAUCAUUGACUAACAAGAGAGUCUAAAACAAUCACGCAUGACCAAUGCUAGAGCAAGAUAAAAUAAAACAACAAAUUGACACAUAGACCUCCGACGAGAACACUAUAACAUAGUCCAAUUGCCAAAAGAGUCAUACUAUGAAAUUAUAGUCCUUUUGAAGCAACGAGAUAUAGGGAUAGGGAGAUCGAACGAUAACCUUACAAUUAACAAUGUCGGAAUCCACCAACAAACUAAUUCACCAGAGAGUAAAUCUCAAAUAUAUUGAUUGAAAAUGAGAUGAAUAAACUGACAAACACAAUGCCAUGAGUUGGCUUAAAUAGAAAACGAAGAAACCCUAAAACAGUAGGAAACCCUAUGUUCUAGUAUAUUCCUAAACUUACCUAACAAGAAAAUAAUAAAAAUCAUAGCUAAAAUCAUAAUAACAAAAUAAUAUCCUAAUAGAUAACUUAUUCUUCCAAAUAUAAAAUAAAACAUUAAAUUAAAUACAAUCUUGACAGAAUCAUAAUUGCUUCAAACUUCCUUAAUCAAUUAGAAAAUCCCAACGAUACGCCUUGCUUCUUUUCCUACAUUUAAUUGGAAUUUUCCUCUCUUGCAUGAUUUUCUUCCAACUUUGAGCCACUCCACUUUAUUUUAAUUAAUUUUUCACACUUCGUCCUACAUCACCAUUGCACAGCCACAAGACAUUGAGAGCACCCGAUAGAGAACACAAUACACCAAGAAGAAAGAAAACAUCCACUAAGCACACCAUCUCUAACCAACUCCAAUUGCAAUUGGUGAUGAAAGAAGAGAAAUAUGUAAGGAACAACACAAAGAAGAAACUAACCACACAAACAGGCCAGGAAAGAAAAUAAAAUAAAAAAAGCCCUCAAGCACGCUGUAUCAUCUCAACACUGACAAAGAAACCUCCUAUAAAAGCAUAGUCCUAGUGACAGGCGGAGAAUCAAAGAUCAAUUAAGAAGAGAACGAAGAAAACACCACGCAACAAUAACAAAAUUGGUCUAGCCAUUUAACAUGAAUACAGGGAUCAAGCACAAGAGCAUUCGCCAGAUGUCAAGCCCACGAAUGCUCCAAGAACACAUUAAGGAAGACUCCCAAGAGAUUCCAAAAACAAUAUCAUUAAUAUUGCAAACAAGCUAACUUUUCUUUUUUCAAAUUUACCCUUAUUAAAUAUUUUUAUUCAAAAAUUUUACAACUUUUUUAUUACUCUCUCCCACUAUCACAUUCUCUCUCUCACACACCCAGACCCAUCUUCAUAACCCACCACUCCACCCAGACCCAUCCUCACACUUGGACUCCAUUUAUUAAGCAAAUUGACACCUUCGCUUUGGCAAAGUCAACAAAUGAAACUUCACAUGCACCUCUUGAGUCUUAAUUGAGAAUCCUAACACGAUUUGUGAGCCUGCUCGUUUUGCAGAAAAAAAAUUUCCAGCUCCCUCCCCUUAACCCAAAUUCAAAACCAUUUGGAAGACUCCCACCGUCGCUUUUCCCCCUUCUCCAUCAUCCCUGCACUUAUACCUCACCAACCCUCCCUGCAAUUUCUCACCACACCCACCCCCACCCCCACCCCUUUCCCCAAUCUCUAUGUACAUCCUCCCUGAAAUUUGGGUUUCUGCAAAAGAACAAAAAAAAAAAAAAAAAAAAAAAAAAGAUGACAAAAUCAUCGUAUUCAUAUUUUUGUGGAUAGACGUGUGAAGGAGGUAUUGUAAAAUAAAUAAAUAAAGAUCAAACAUGGGUGGGGUGGAAAAUGAAUGUGGCUGUUGGGUUUUCAUCGGCGGGGGAGGAGUCGAGGUUGUGGUGGGAAAAUGAAAUUAAUGGCUGGGGUGGGAGGUGGGGGUGGCUGCGCAGGUGGGAGGAGAGAUGAGUUGUGGGUGUUGACUGCUGGGUUUUCCCAGAGGAGGGGGCCAGGGCGAGUUGGGGUGGGGAUCGGGUGAUUGAAAAACCCCUUUUUUUAUUGUUUAUUAUUUUUUUUUAAAAAAAAGGGUAAAUACGGAAAUACAAUUAAUGUUCUUUUGUGUAAUUAAAUUAUUAGUUUAAGUGAGAGGGAAGUGACAUGUGUCGUGAGUAAAAGAACGAAAAUUCAAAAGAGAAAGUUAGAAAAAAGAUGCUAGCAUUCCCCAUCCUUAAACACAAAAAUCCAAACAAAUCCGAUUACUUCUUAUCAUUUAUUUGAAUACAGACCUUUAAAUUCAAAGGCUUUCCAGAAGAGAAGGCCUCUUCCUUCUGUUCAAAGGCUUCCCAUUUCGAAUAUAUCAAUGGCAGAAGCAACAAAGAGGUAGCACUUUAGAGUCCUUUCUGCUUUGGUUCCUUGUCACAUCUCCAUUCGCUCUAAUUGUUUCUGCUUACCAUUUUUGUGUUAUGAAUUUGGUGUUUUUGUUUUUCCAGGUAUGCAGUUGUUACUGGGGCAAACAAAGGCAUAGGAUUGGAAACUGUGAGGCAAUUGGCCUCAAAUGGAUUCACUGUAGUUUUAACUGCCAGAGAUGAGAAAAGGGGUCUUGAAGCUGCUGAGAAACUCAAAGAGUCUGGCCUCUCAGGUCAAGUGGUUUUUCAUCAACUUGAUGUGGCUAACCCAGCUACUGUUGCUUCCUUGGCAGACUUCAUCAAAACCCAGUUUGGGAAACUCGAUAUCUUGGUAAGUAUAUGAUCAUAGCUGCAGGUUUCUUGAAAAAGUUUAUGUCUCUUGAAUUGAACUCUUAAUCCGAACGCGAUUUAAUUGAAGGAGAUGAAAUAUGGAAUCAUAUAGCAAAUGAAAUUGGAGAAUAAAAAUAGCAAACCAAGUGUUAACUAGCUUAAUAAAUGUCAUCAAGAAGUUAAUCUUUGAAAUAAUUAGAAGUCUUAGGGUUUUUGAAGAACAAAAUAAGUUUCACAUAAACUACCAGUUGUGGAAGAUUUUACCUUCAAAUCUAACUCUAUGUCUGCCACUCUGUUUUUGUUUCUUGGAAUCUUUUCAUAUAUGAUAUGAUCCCUUUCUGUACAAUUUACAAGUACCUUAGAAAGAUCCGUGGCUGGAAUUAAGGGGUUUGGCAAAGUAGCAUAAUUAUUGUGCUUCUUUAAAGGCAUUGGCCUUUAUGGUUGGUAUGGUUGUAAAAACAAAGAGAUUGUCAGAGUACUCAGAGGAUCUAUCAACUUACUUUUCAUUUCAUUUUCUAUAAAAUAAAAAAAUCUGUUCUUUUCUUUACUAAAAGAAAACAGAAAGUGAAACAGUUGGACUCUGCACAGGUGAACAAUGCAGGGAUUUUUGGAAGCAUAUUAGAUGGUGAUGCUUUUAAAGCUGUAAUAGCCUCUGGUGCCGUGGUAAGUCUUUUGCAUAAUUUUUAUCAAUAGCUAUCAAAAACUAAAAGCUUCAAUGUAUGUGCCAAAGUGAGAAUUUAAACUGAUCUGUGGUUUGGCAAACUUUAAUAAACAUUUUUCUUGUUUGGGGUGUUGUGUAAGUGGUGGGCAAUAGGCAUCAUAAUAAUAAGUUUGCUUUUGUUGAUACAGGAAGGAGGAGAAGUUGAUUUGAGUAAACUAGUGACUGAAACGUAUGAGUUAACAGAAAAAUGCUUGCAAAUAAACUAUUAUGGUGCUAAAAGAACAGCUGAAGCACUUAUCCCACUCCUCCAGUUAUCUGACUCACCGAGAAUUGUUAAUGUUUCGUCUGGCUCGGGGAAGUUAAAGAAGAUACCAAGUGAUUGGGCUAAAGGAGUUUUUACUGAUGCCGAAAACCUAACAGAAGAGAGAGUAGAUAAGGUACUGACUGAGCUUCUAAAAGAUUUCAAGGAGGGUUCACUUGAAAGUAAGGGCUGGCCUUCUUCUAUGCCUGCCUAUAUAGUCUCAAAAGCAGCACUGAACGCAUAUACAAGGAUUCUAGGAAAGAAGUACCCCACUUUUCGUAUCAAUUCAGUCUGCCCUGGCUUUGUCAAAACAGAUAUAAACUUCAAUGCCGGCGUCUUGCCUGUCGAAGAGGGUGGUGCCAGGAUUGUAAAGUUAGCAUUGCUGCCCAAUGAUGGCCCUACUGGCUCCUUCUUUGUUCACGAUGAAGUGUCAGAUUUUUGAUUGAAGAUGAUCCAUUUAUGCAAAUUUAAUACGAGUCAUUUAUUGGGCAACAUUUGGUACUGUAAUGUAAUUUUAAGUAUUUUGGUAUGUAUAUUGAUUGAAGGAUCUAGUGCAUUGUUUACAUUUCUACUAUUCAUCUGGCUCUUGGACUCAUAUUAUCAUUUACAAUGUUAUUCAGUCAGAAAUUCUAUGUGAUCGAUGUCCGGUAUUAUCGAUAGUAUAUCAAUAACAUUUCGGUAUAUUUUGUUAGACUUAAGUUAGAGACAAUAAUAUUGACAGUCCAUCAUUUAAUUAAGGACGAAGUUUUGAGAAGAAUUGAUUAUUCAAUAUUAUCCAACUUAAAUUGUAAUAGCACAAUCGCAAACUUCUGCAGUCAAUUGUGUAAACGAAGGCAUAGGAUUGGAAACUGUCAGGCAGUUGGCCUCAAAAGGAUUCACUGUAGUCUUAACUGCCAGAGAUGAGAAGAGGGGUCUUGAAGUUGUUGGGAAACUCAAAGAGUCUGGCUCCUCAGGUCAAGUGAUUUUUCAUUAGCUUGAUGUGGCUAACCCAGUAACACAGGAGAAGGUUAAUGUUAAAUUGAGUGGCUGAUAUAUAUCAUGCUUAUUGUGUCCACUUCCAGUUGUGUACACGUACCAAGUACCCUAGAAAGAUCAGUGGCUGGAAUUAAGACCCACAUUCAGAGGACUCUCACCCUUAUUUAAGUGUGCUACCGGUGCGGCAGUUUUAUCGAAGAUUUUUUCCUAUCAAAAGGUGAAAGUUGUCACAAGUAAAUUAAUAUCCAUGUUUCUACUAGGAUAUAUUAGUCAAUUAGAAAUUUUCUGCGCAAGUUGAAAAGUCUUGCAUGCGAAACUGCUUGCCACUGCCACCACCAAAAUUCAACAACGUGAGCACUUGCGUCACCACUACCCCAUUAUUUUCCUUUAAAAUCUUCACAACAAAAUUCCAAACAAGUCUUGGUCCCUCUUUCACCACAAUAUCCAAUUACUGCUAGAAAACACUAGAAGCAUCCUCCCUCCAGUAUGUAAUAGGAACAACAGAACCAACAAUUUUCAUCUUCUUCUUAAUAUUUAUCUUAAUAUAAUCCCCAGAAUUCAAAGGCUUUUCAAGAACAUUUCACUAUAAAAGAGAAGAAGGCUGUUGCUGUUUAAUACACAUCUCAAUUUUCCCAGACCGUCCCGUUUCGAAUCUAUCAAUGGCAGAAGUAACAAAGAGGUAGCACUUUAAAGUACUGCUUUCAUAACAAUUUCUCACUAUUUUUGUGUUCUGAAUUUGGUGUUUUUUGUUUUCUCAGGUAUGCAAUUGUUACUGGAGCAAACAAAGGCGUAGGAUUGGAAACUGUCAGGCAGUUGGCCUCAAAUGGAUUUAUUGUAGUCUUGACUGCCAGAGAUGGCAAGAGGGGUCUUGAAGCUGUUGAGAAACUCAAAGAGUCUGGCCUCUCUGGUCAAGUGGUUUUUCAUCAACUUGAUGUAGCUAACCCUGCUAGUGUUGCUUCCUUGGCAGACUUCAUCAAAACCCAGUUUGGGAAACUGGAUAUCUUGGUAUGUAUAUGAUCAUAGCUGCAGGUUUCUUGAAAAAGUUUCUGUCUUUUGAAUCCAACUCUUAAUCCAAAUGCGAUUUUGUUGACGGAAUUGGAGAAUAAAAAUAGCAAACCAUCUACAUUUGUUUCUUGGAAUCCUUUCAUAUAUGAUGUGAUCCCUUUCUGUACAAUUUACAAGUACCCUAUAAAGAUCAGUGGCUGGAGUUAAGGGGUUUGGAAAAGUAGCAUGGUUGGUUUGGUUGUAAAACAAAGAGAUUAUCCAAGUAAUCAGAGGAUCUAUCAACUUUCUUUUCAUUUCAUUUUCUAUAGAAAAAAAUUAUGUUCUUUUCUUUGCUAAAAGAAAACAGAUAGUGAAACAGUUGGACUCUGCACAGGUGAACAAUGCAGGAAUUUUUGGAAGCAUAAUAGAUGUUGAUGCUUCUAAAGCUGCUGUAGCCUCUGGUGCCAUGGUAAGUCUUUUGCAUAAUUUUAUCAAUAGCUAUCAAAAACUAAAAGCUUCAAUCUAUAUGCCAAAGUGAGAAUUUAAAAUGAUUUGUGGUUUGGCAAACUUUAAUCAACAUUUUUCUUGUUUGGAGUGUUGUGCAAGUGGUGGGCAAUAGGCACCAUAAUAAUAAGUUUGCUUUUGCUGAUACAGGCAAGAGGAGAAGUUGAUUUGAGUAAACUAGUGACUGAAACUUAUGAGUUAACAGAAGAAUGCUUGCAAAUAAACUAUUAUGGUGCUAAAAGAACAGCUGAAGCACUUAUCCCACUCCUCCAGUUUUCUGACUCACCGAGAAUUGUUAAUGUUUCUGCUGGCUUGGGGAUGUUAAACAACAUACCAAGCGAUUGGGCUAGAGGAGUUUUUACUGAUGCCGAAAACCUAACAGAAGAGAGAGUAGAUGAGGUACUGACUGAGCUUCUAAAAGAUUUCAAGGAGGGUUCACUUGAAAGUAAGGGCUGGCCUUCUUCUAUGCCUGCCUAUAUAGUCUCAAAAGCAGCACUGAACGCAUAUACAAGGAUUCUAGCAAAGAAGUACCCCAAUUUUCGUAUCAAUUCAGUCUGCCCUGGCUAUGUCAAAACAGAUAUGAACUUCAAUGCCGGCCUCUUGCCUGUCGAAGAAGGUGGUGCCAGGGUUGUGAAGUUAGCAUUGCUGCCCAAUGAUGGCCCUACUGGCUCCUUCUUUGUUCAGAAUGAAGUGUCGGAUCUUUGAUUGAAGAUGAUCCAUUCAUGCAUAUUUAAUACAUGUCACCUAUUGGGCAACUUCUUGUACUGUAAUGUAAUUUUAAGUAUUUUGGACACCAGCAGAUUCUUUUUUGGUUCUUUCUACAUUCAAUACGAGGAUGGCAUGUAUAUGAUGCUUUUUAUCUAGGUAAAAUUUCACCAAAGCACAAUGUUUAAAUAACAAAAGAAACUGCACCCCAAAAAAGAAUAGAAAAGUUCAGGUGUUUCUGGCCUCACAGGAAGCUCUCAGCUGACUUGACCUUCCCCUUUGGUUUUUGGGGAAAGACUUAGCUGUCCUGGGGUGACUACUCCUUGUUCCUUCCUAUAGAAUCUUGUGAUGUAUGCAAGUUUCUUGCGUUUAGAGAGGAGAGACAACACUCCCAAAUAAAGGCCGAAAAAGUCACAUUUGUUAUAAAACUAAAGAAAUUGAAGAGAGAAUUUAGAGAAUUCAAAUAGCGACAGGAAUGCUCUUCCGUUAUUUUCAUUGAGAUUUUCUUCUAUAUCUACAAAUGAGAAUGAAGCUAUAGUUUUAUAGGCAAAGCCUUGGCUAACAAUUCGGUAAAUAGAAGACUCCAAGAAGGUGUAUGGAGAUUCCCUUCCAACAUGUGGGCUUCACUUUAUCAUCUUACAACAACAUUAGGGGGUCUCACCCUUUUUUGAGUGUGCUACCAGUCAUUAUGAGAUCCAUGUUUCAACAUGAUAUUAUUAUUUACCUUACCAGUCAAUCAGAAAAAGUAAGUAGGGUCUACACAAAAUUAGAAAUUGAAUUCUUGAUUUGAGGGGAAUUCAAUUUUUGAGUGGGAUGUGGUAUUUUAAUUUCAGGAGAACUAACUUAUUAGAAAUUCAUCUUUUUUACUCAUUAUAUCUUCAUACAAUUUUAAAAUUUCCAAAUUUGUUAUCUAUUUUAACUCGACAAUGAGGACAUUUUAGUAAUUAGUACAACUCCUACCUCAAUUUCAUAUGGUUUAGUAAACAACUUUAAUAGGAAUUUGGAAUCUAACUCUCCUCAAUCCAUAUAAUUUAGCAAACAACUUCAAUAAGAAUACGGAUUCUAAUUCUCCUUAAUCUAACUCAUCCUCAAUUCAAUUCCUCUUAAUCCGUACUCACCACCCCCAUUCUUUUCCUUCUAGAAAACGUUAGAAGCAUCCUCAAUCCAGUAUUUAUAUAGGAACAAACGAAUCAAAAAAUUUCUUCUUCUCAUUAUUAUUUAUUUGAAUAUAGACCUCAAAAUUCAAAGGCUUUCCAAGAACAUUACACUAUAAAACAAAAGAAGGCUCCUUCCUUAUUUUUAAUUAAUCUCAAUUCUCACAGACCGUCCCGUUUCGAAUAUAUCAAUGGCAGAAGCAACAAAGAGGUAGCACUUUAAAGUCCUUUAUGCUUUGAAGUACUGCUUCCAUAACAAUUUCUCACUAUUUUUUGUGUUAUGAAUUUGGUGUUUGUGUUUUCUCAGGUAUGCAGUUGUUACUGGAGCAAACAAAGGCAUAGGAUUGGAAACUGUGAGGCAAUUGGCCUCAAAUGGAUUCACUGUAGUCUUAACUGCCAGAGAUGAGAAAAGGGGUCUUGAAGCUGUUGAGAAACUCAAAGAAUCUGGCCUCUCACGUCAAGUGGUUUUUCAUCAACUUGAUGUGGCUAACCCUGCUACUGUUGCUUCCUUGGCAGAGUUCAUCAAAACCCAGUUUGGAAAACUCGAUAUCUUGGUAUGUGUAUGAUCAUAGCUGCAGGUUUCUUGAAAAAGUUUCUGUCUUUUGAAAUAAUUAUGUCUUAGGCGUACACAAUAUCCACACAGGUGAAGGUUAUAUUAGAGACUGUAAAAUUGAGUGGCUGAUCCAUAUAUUGCUUGCUUAUUGUGACCACUUCCAGUCGUGGAAGAUUUUACUAUCAAAUCUGACUCUAUGUCUGUCACAUUGUUUUUUCGGUUUUUUUUUGGUGUGGAAUUCUUUCCAUAUAUAUGCUAUAUGAUCCCUCUCUGAACAAUUUACAAGUACCCUAGAAAGAUCAGUGGCUGGAGUUAAGGGGUUUGGGAAAGGCAUAAUUGUUGGCCCUUGUGGUUGGUUUGGUUGUAACAACAAAAGAGAUUUAUCCAAGUAAUCAGAGGAUCUACCUUCUUCCAAUUAAUUUCAAUUUCUAGAAAAAAUUUCAGUUCUUUUCUUUGCUAAAAGAACCCAAAUAGUGAAACAGUUGGACUCUGCACAGGUGAACAAUGCAGGGAUUAGUGGACGCCAAGUAGACGGUGAUGCUCUUAAAGCUGUAGUAGACUCUGGUGCCAUGGUAAGUCUUUUGGAUAAUUUUUAUCAAUAGCUAUCAAAAACUAAAAGCUUCAAUGUAUGUGCUUAAUAUGAAUGUAAGUUCUCAUGAUGUCUUCCUCUGUCUUGAAAUAUUUUCAUUGUGAUGUGCAUGUCAAACUUUGAUCACCAUUUUUCUUGUUUGGGAUGGUUGUAAGUGGUUGGCAAUAGCCACCAUAAUAAGUUUGUUCUUACUGAUGCAGGAAAGAGGAGAAGUUGAUUGGAGUAAAUUAAAGAUAGAAACUUAUGAGUUGGCAGAAGAAUGCUUGCAAAUAAACUACUAUGGUGCUAAAAAAACGGCUGAAGCACUUAUCCCACUCCUCCAGUUAUCUGACUCACCGAGAAUUGUUAAUGUUUCCUCUUCCUUGGGGAAGUUAAAGAACAUACCUAGUGAUUGGGCUAAAGGAGUUUUUACUGAUGCUGAUAACCUAACAGAAGAGGGAGUAGUUGAGGUACUGACUGAGCUUCUAAAAGCCUUCAAGGAGGGUUCACUUGAAAGUAAGGGCUGGCCUUCUUCUUUGUCUGCCUAUAUAGUCUCAAAAGCUGCACUAAACGCUUAUACAAGGAUUCUAGCAAAGAAGUACCCCGAUAUUCGUAUCAAUUCGGUAUGCCCCGGCUUUGUCAAAACAGAUCUAAACUCCAAUGCCGGCGUCUUGCCUGUCGAAGAAGGUGGUGCCAGGGUUGUGAGUAUAGCAUUGCUGCCCAAUGAUGGCCCUUCUGGUUCCUUCUUUGUUCAGUAUGAAGUGUCAGAUCUUUGAUUGAAGAUGAUCCAUUUAUGCAAAUUUAAUACAUGUCACUUGUUGGGCAGCAUCUUGAACUUUGAUGUAAUUUAAGUAUAUUUGGAACCAGCAGCGGAUCCUUUUUAUGUUCUUUCUACAUUCAAUAAGAGGAUGGCAUAUAUGAUGCUUAUUGUUGUAGCCAUAUUUAAUUGUGCAACAUUCUCUAUCUAAUAGUCCUCUAUGAUUGCAUCUUUAUGAAAUUAUCUCCCACAUCUGGAAUUGAUUGAAGCAUCUGGUGCAUUGUUUGUUUACAUUUCUACUAUUCAUCUGCCUCUUGAACUCAUGUUAUCAUUUGCAUUGUUAUUCAGUCAGAAAUUCUAUGUGAUUCAUGUUCAUCCUUUGAUCGAUAUUAUUGAUGGUAUAUUGAUAACAUUUAGGUAUAUUUUGUGACAUAUGUCAGAGAAUAAUAUUGACACCUUCUGCAGUCAAUUGUUUAAAAAAACAAAAAGACAACAUAGGUCUCGUUAACAAUUAUGUAAUUUUGGAGCGGUUAAAUUCACCAAUCUUGCCGACGAAACUGCUUCAGCCUUGGCAUGUGGUUGAUGGUUGAGUUAAGCUCUCUCUGCUCUGCCACCACCACCAAAAUGCUUAAACAAUGGGAGCACUUGCGUCACCACCCCCAUUCUUUUCCUUAAUUCUUAAAAGAAAAAUCCAAACAAAUGUUGUUUUCCCAUCAGAUUACUUCUAGGAAACAUUCGACGCAAGCAUCCUCCCUCCAGUAUAGGAACAAACGAGUCUUAACAAUUUUCUUGCUCUUAUUAUUAUUUAUUUGAAUAUCAAACUUGAAAUGUGCAAAGGUUUUCCCACAGACAGACGAUCCCAUAAACGAAUCAGCAAUGGCAGAAGCAAGAAAGAGGUGGCACCUUAGAGUCCAUACCCUUUGAUUACUUCUAUAACAAUUUCUCACUCUUGUUUUUGUUUCCUUUUUGCUUUCCUAUUUUUGUUAUGAAAUUGGUGUUUCUUCUUUUGUUUUUCCAGGUAUGCAGUUGUUACUGGGGCAAACAAAGGCAUAGGAUUGGAAACUGUCAGGCAGUUGGCCUCAAAAGGAUUCACUGUAGUCUUAACUGCCAGAGAUGAGAAGAGGGGUCUUGAAGCUGUUGAGAAAUUCAAAGAAUCUGGCCUCUCAGGUCAAGUGGUUUUUCAUCAACUUGAUGUGGCUAACCCUGCUAGUCUUGCUCCUUUGGCAGACUUCAUCAAAACCCAGUUUGGGAAACUCGAUAUCUUGGUAUGUAUGAUCAUAGCUACAGGGUUAAUGUAAAAUUGAGUGAUCUAUAUCAUGCUUAUUGUGUCCACUUCCAGUUGUGGAAGAUUUUACUUUGAAGUCUAAAUCUAACUCUAACUAUAUGAAAGAUCAGUGACUGGAAUUAAGUGGUGUGACAAAGUAGCAUACUUAUUGGCCUUCUUUGAAGAGCACUGGUUGGUUAUAGCAGAUAGUUUAUCCAAGUAAUCAAAGCAUCUACCAACUUUCUUUUAAUUCCAUCUUGUAGAUGUUUUUUUCUUUGCUUUUGUUUGCAAAAGUAAAACAAGUAGUGAAACAGUUGGACUCUGCACAGGUGAACAAUGCAGGGAUUGGUGGAAGCACAGCGGAUCCUGAUGCCUUUAGAGCUGUAGUAGAGUCUGGUGCCUUUGUAAGUCUUUCAGAUAAUUCUUAUCAAUAGCUACCAAAAACUUAAAGCUUUAAUGUAUGUGUUUAAUGUGAAAAUUUAAAUUGAUCUGUGGUUUGGCUUAAUGCUAUGGCAAUUAGUAGGGGAAAUGAUCUGUGUAACAUCACCAGGCUGGUAUGAUUCGGGUGGGUGUGUAAGUAGUUGGCAAUAGCCACCGUAAUAAGUUUGUUCUUACUGAUGCAGGGAAGAGGAGAAGUUGAUUGGAGUAAACUAAGUACUGAAACUUAUGAGUUGGCAGAAGAAUGCUUGCAGAUAAACUAUUAUGGUGCUAAAAGAACAGCUGAAGCACUUAUCCCACUCCUCCAGUUAUCCGAUUCACCGAGAAUUGUUAAUGUUUCGUCUUUCAUGGGGAAGUUAAACAACAUACCGAGCGGUUGGGCUAAAGUAGUUUUUACUGAUGCAGAAAACCUAACAGAAGAGAGACUAGAUGAGGUACUGACUGAGCUUUUAAAAGCCUUCAAGGAGGGUUCACUUGAAAGUAAGGGCUUUCCUUCUUCUUUGUCAGCCUAUAUAGUCUCAAAAGCUGCACUGAACGCAUAUACUAGGAUUCUAGCAAAGAAGUACCCCACUUUUCGUAUCAAUUCGUUAUGCCCUGGCUUUGUCAAAACAGAUAUAAACUACAAUGUCGGUGUCCUACCUGUCGAAGAAGGGGCUGCAAGGGUUAUGAAGUUAGCAUUGCUGCCCAAUGAUGGCCCUUCUGGCUCCUUCUUUGUUGAGUACGAAGUGUCAGAUUUUUAAUUGAAGAUGAUCCGUUUAUGCAAAUUAAAUACAUGUCAUUUAUUUGGCAGGAUCUUGAAUUUUUAAUGUAACAAAGUGUAUUUGGACCCAGCACCAGAUCCCUUUUAAGUUCUUUCUACAUUCAAUAUGACUCGAGGACAACAUACAAUAGUCUUGUAUGAUUGCAUCUUUGUGAAAUUAUCUUCCACAUAUGGAAUUGAUUGAAGGAUCUAAUACAUUGCUUGUUUACAUUUCUACUUAUCAACUGGCUGUUGAACUCAUAUUAUCAUUUACAUUAUUAUUCAACCAGAAAUUCUAUAUGAUUGAUAUCCAUUUUUUGAUCGAUACUAUCAAUAACAUUUUGGUAUAUUUUGUUAUGGAUAUGCUGACAACAAUUAUAUUAACACUUAAUCCACAAUUCUUUCAUUAAUUAAGAAAUGACGUAGGUAUAAAGAAGAAUUGAUUAUCCAACAAUCCCUCAUUCCCUCGUUCCAUCAAUAUUAUUGUAUUCAAUUGUUUAAUAAAGAAAAAGACAAUUGUCAUGUUCAAUGCAAAACUGCUUAAGACUUCGCAUGUUACGACUUUUUUGCCUAUACACUCCAAUGGUAGUUGAGACAUUGGGGAAGCCCUUGUGAACAUGUUGUUGAAAGGUCUCUCUGGUCUGUCAACGUGUGCACUUGCGUCACUACCUUCUCCUUUUCCUUAACGAAAAUUCUACAGAGAAAAAUCCAAGCAAAUGCUGUUCUAUCUAUCUUUCCCAUUCAAAUGAUGUCAUAUCUCACUAUAUCUCACCAAACCCAGUUAUUAACUUAUUAUUACUUUCAUGACCCAAAAAAGAAAAAGUUACUUUUACGUUUUCCGUUUUUUGCUAUACCACUUUUUUGUCAGUAAGGACACAAUUGUACUUUUAUAAAUCCAAACUAACAAACGCCAUAAUGGGCUUACUCAUUGACUAAAAACUAACAAAAAUAUAAAAUCACUUGAGCAAGACCCAAAAGUAUAUAGGGUAUUUAGAAGAUCUUAAUUAGUGCAUUUCCACAUGUAAGCUUAUAAAUAGGACCGAAAUAUAGAAGAAUUCUACAAUAAAUUUUAGGAAAAAUUCAAUUUGUCUUUCAAAAUUAAAAUAAGGAGUUAAAUUCUUAUUACGGAUACUUCUAUGUUUUUUCCACAUUGAGAAACUAAAAAUACAAAUGACACCCACAAAAAAAGUAAAAAUUCAAUUCUUGAGUAGGGCAGCCGCAUGUGAAAUCACACUCGCAAAGAGUUAAGACCCACAUUCAGAGGGUCUCACCCUUAUUUGAGUGCCACCGGUGCCGCGGUCCUGUUUAAGAUUUUUUUCCUAUCAAAAGGUGAAGGUUGCCACAAGUAAAUUAAUGUAUGUAUUUUAUAUCUAGUGGGGAUGAAAAAGUAAGGUGAUCCAUGUUUCUAUAGGAUAUUAUUAUUUACAUUAUUAGUCAAUUAGAGUAGUCACAUCCACACCAGUCUUUGCAUGCGAAACUGCUUACUGCCCUGCAACUGCCUUCACCAAAAUUCUCCCACAAACCCAUUAUUUUCCUUUAAAAUCUUAAAAACAAAAUUUGGUCCCUCUGUCGCCACAAUUUCUAAUUAAUGUUAGAAAACACUAGAAGCAUAUAGGAACAAAAGAAUCAAAAUUUUCUUCUUCGUAUUAUUUAUUUGAAUAUGACCUCAAAAGUCAAAGGCUUUCCAAGAACAUUCACUAUAAAAGAAAAGAAGGCUCCUUCUGUUUAACACACAUCUCAAUUCUCACAGACCGUCCCGUUUCGAAUCUAUCAAUGGCAGAAGCAACAAAGAGGUAGCACUUUAGACUUCAUUAUGCUUUGUUUCCUUGUCCGAUUUCCAAUCCCUUUAAUUGUUUUUGUUUCUAUGAAUUUGGUGUUUGUGUUUUCUUAGGUAUGCGGUUGUUACUGGAGCAAACAAAGGUAUAGGAUUGGAAACUGUAAGGCAGUUGGCCUCAAAUGGGUUCACCGUAGUCUUAACUGCCCGAGAUGAGAAGAGGGGUCUUGAAGCUGUUGAGAAACUCAAAGAGUCUGGCCUCUCAGGUCAAGUGGUUUUUCAUCAACUUGAUGUGGUUGACCCUGCUACUGUUGCUUCUUUGGCAGACUUCAUCAAAACCCAGUUUGGGAAACUCGAUAUCUUGGUAUGUAUAUGAUCAUAGCUACAGGUUUCUUGAAAAAGUUUCUGUCUUUUGAAUCUAACUCUUAAUCCGAAUGCGAUUUAGUUGGAAGCACGGAUACGCUGGUUGAGGUGCGUAUCCCGUAUCCGAUACGCUAGGGGAUACGAUACGCUGUGAAUACGUGCGGAUACCCGAUGGAUACGUAUCCGAGUAAACGGAUACGGUCAAAGACAAAAAGAUACUCGUAUCUGACAUUACAGAUACGAGUAUCUGAUGUUUAGGAUACGCGUAUCAGGAAACGUCUCCACUUCUUCUUUCAGAUCUUCCUUCUUCUUCUUCAUCCAGCAGUGCCCCCACUCAUCAAUUCUUCUUCUUCGUCCUUAAGAAGCCCAGAUCUUCCUUUUUCUUCUUCAUCCAGCGGCGCCCCUACUCAUCAAUUUCUUCUUCUUCAUUCUUCAUUGUCGGCGGCGUCGGGUUCUCUUCUCCAUUUUCAUUUUGUUUUCUCACGCGUGCUUCUCUGUUCUUUUGACAAAAGGAUUUUGUUUUGUUUUUGUCUUUUUUUUUGGUCAAAGGAUUUUGUUUGUUUAAUAUUCACAGUUUCACCCACACCCCACGUGAUGGCUGGUCUUAUCGUUUUGACAAAAGGAUUUUGUUUUGUUUGUCUUAUUAAAAGUAAUAAUAUUAUAACCAAGACAAGUGGAAGUAUGUUAAAAGUAAUAAUAUCAAAAGUAGUUAUUUAAAAUAUGUUAUAAAUUAUAUAUAUUGUUAUUUUUAAAUUAUUAUAUAUUAUUUAAAUUACCGUAUUCACGACGUAUCGUAUCCUAAUUUUUAAAAAUUUAUCGUGUCUCCGUGUGGUGUCGUAUCGUAUUCUCGUAUCCGUAUCCGUGUCCGUGCUAUGAAAUAUGGAAUUGGAAAAUGAAAAUAGCAAACCAAGUAAUAACUAGCUUAGUAAUAUCUUCAACAAGUUAAUCUUUGAAAUAAUUAGAAGUCUUAGGCUUUUUGAAGAACAAAACAAGUUUCACAUAACUACCAGUCUACCACUCUGUUUUUGUUUCUUGGAAUCUUUUGAUAUAUGAUAUGAUCCCUUUCUGUACAAUUUAUAUGUACUCUAGAAAGAUCAGUGGCUGGAGUUACGGGGUUUGGCAAAGUGGCAUAAUUAUUGGGCUUCUUUAAAGGGCAUUGGACUUUAUGGUUAGUUUGGUUUUAACAACAAAGAGAUUGUAAGAGUAAUCAGAGGAUCUAUCAACUUUCUUUUCCUUUCAUUUUCUAUAAAGAUUUUCUGUUCUUUUCUUUGCUAAAAGAAAACAGAUAGUGAAACAGUUGGACUCUGCACAGGUGAACAAUGCAGGGGUUAUUGGAAGCAUAGUAGAUGGUGAUGCUUUUAAAGCUUCUGUAGCCUCCGGUGCCACGGUAAGUCUUUUGCAUAAUUUUUUUAUCAAUAGCUAUCAAAAACUAAAAGCUUCAAUGUAUGUGCCAAAGUGAGAAUUUAAACUGAUCUGUGGUUUGGCAUACUUUAAUCAACGUUUUUCUUGUUUGGGGUGGGUGUGUAAGUGGUGGGCAAUAGGCACCAUAAUAAUAAGUUUGUUUUUGCUGAUACAGGAAAGAGGAGGAGUUGAUUUUAGUAAACUAGUGACUGAAACUUACGAGUUAACAGAAGAAUGCUUGCAAAUAAACUAUUAUGGUGCUAAAAGAACAGCUGAAGCACUUAUCCCACUCCUCCUGUUAUCUGACUCACCGAGAAUUGUUAAUGUUUCUUCUGUCAUGGGGAUGUUAAACAACAUACCAAGCGAUUGGGCUAGAGGAGUUUUUACUGAUGCCGAAAACCUAACAGAAGAGAGAGUAGAUGAGGUACUGACUGAGCUUCUAAAAGAUUUCAAGGAGGGUUCACUUGAAAGUAAGGGCUGGCCUUCUUCUAUGCCUGCCUAUAUAGUCUCAAAAGCAGCACUGAACGCAUAUACAAGGAUUCUAGGAAAGAAGUACCCCACUUUUCGUAUCAAUUCAGUCUGCCCUGGCUUUGUCAAAACAGAUAUAAACUUCAAUGCCGGCGUCUUGCCUGUCGAAGAGGGUGGUGCCAGGAUUGUAAAGUUAGCAUUGCUGCCCAAUGAUGGCCCUACUGGCUCCUUCUUUGUUCACAAUGAAGUGUCAGAUUUUUGAUUGAAGAUGAUCCAUUUAUGCAAAUUUAAUACGAGUCAUUUAUUGGGCAACAUUUGGUACUGUAAUGUAAUUUUAAGUAUUUUGGUAUGUAUAUUGAUUGAAGGAUCUAGUGCAUUGUUUACAUUUCUACUAUUCAUCUGGCUCUUGCACUCAUAUUAUCAUUUACAAUGUUAUUCAGUCAGAAAUUCUAUGUGAUCGAUGUCCGGUAUUAUCGAUAGUAUAUCAAUAACAUUUCGGUAUAUUUUGUUAGACUUAAGUUAGAGACAAUAAUAUUGACAGUCCAUCAUUUAAUUAAGGACGAAGUUUUGAGAAGAAUUGAUUAUUCAAUAUUAUCCAACUUAAAUUGUAAUAGCACAAUCGCAAACUUCUGCAGUCAAUUGUGUAAACGAAGGCAUAGGAUUGGAAACUGUCAGGCAGUUGGCCUCAAAAGGAUUCACUGUAGUCUUAACUGCCAGAGAUGAGAAGAGGGGUCUUGAAGUUGUUGGGAAACUCAAAGAGUCUGGCUCCUCAGGUCAAGUGAUUUUUCAUUAGCUUGAUGUGGCUAACCCAGUAACACAGGAGAAGGUUAAUGUUAAAUUGAGUGGCUGAUAUAUAUCAUGCUUAUUGUGUCCACUUCCAGUUGUGUACACGUACCAAGUACCCUAGAAAGAUCAGUGGCUGGAAUUAAGACCCACAUUCAGAGGACUCUCACCCUUAUUUAAGUGUGCUACCGGUGCGGCAGUUUUAUCGAAGAUUUUUUCCUAUCAAAAGGUGAAAGUUGUCACAAGUAAAUUAAUAUCCAUGUUUCUACUAGGAUAUAUUAGUCAAUUAGAAAUUUUCUGCGCAAGUUGAAAAGUCUUGCAUGCGAAACUGCUUGCCACUGCCACCACCAAAAUUCAACAACGUGAGCACUUGCGUCACCACUACCCCAUUAUUUUCCUUUAAAAUCUUCACAACAAAAUUCCAAACAAGUCUUGGUCCCUCUUUCACCACAAUAUCCAAUUACUGCUAGAAAACACUAGAAGCAUCCUCCCUCCAGUAUGUAAUAGGAACAACAGAACCAACAAUUUUCAUCUUCUUCUUAAUAUUUAUCUUAAUAUAAUCCCCAGAAUUCAAAGGCUUUUCAAGAACAUUUCACUAUAAAAGAGAAGAAGGCUGUUGCUGUUUAAUACACAUCUCAAUUUUCACAGACCGUCCCGUUUCGAAUCUAUCAAUGGCAGAAGUAACAAAGAGGUAGCACUUUAAAGUACUGCUUCCAUAACAAUUUCUCACUAUUUUUUGUGUUAUGAAUUUGGUGUUUGUGUUUUCUCAGGUAUGCAGUUGUUACUGGAGCAAACAAAGGCAUAGGAUUGGAAACUGUGAGGCAAUUGGCCUCAAAUGGAUUCACUGUAGUCUUAACUGCCAGAGAUGAGAAAAGGGGUCUUGAAGCUGUUGAGAAACUCAAAGAAUCUGGCCUCUCUGGUCAAGUGGUUUUUCAUCAACUUGAUGUGGCUAACCCUGCUACUGUUGCUUCCUUGGCAGAGUUCAUCAAAACCCAGUUUGGAAAACUCGAUAUCUUGGUAUGUGUAUGAUCAUAGCUGCAGGUUUCUUGAAAAAGUUUCUGUCUUUUGAAAUAAUUAUAAGUCUUAGGCUUACACAAUAUCCACACAGGUGAAGGUUAUAUUAGAGACUGUAAAAUUGAGUGGCUGAUCCAUAUAUUGCUUGCUUAUUGUGACCACUUCCAGUUGUGGAAGAUGUUACUGUCAAAUCUAACUCUAUGUCUGUCACAUUGUUUUUUCGUUUUUUUUUUUUUUUUUUUGGGUGGAAUUCUUUCCAUAUAUAUGCUAUAUGAUCCCUCUCUGUACAAUUUAGAAGUAACCUAGAAAUAUCAGAGGCUGGAGUUAAGGGGUUUGGGAAAGGCACAAUUAUUAGCCUUUAUGGUUGGUUUGGUUGUAACAACGAAAGAGAUUUAUCCAAGUAAUCAGAGGAUCUACCUUCUUCCAAUUAAUUUCAUUUUCUAGAAAAAAUUUCAGUUCUUUUCUUUGCUAAAAGAACCCAAAUAGUGAAACAGUUGGACUCUGCACAGGUGAACAAUGCAGGGAUUAGUGGACGCCAAGUAGACGGUGAUGCUCUUAAAGCUGUAGUAGACUCUGGUGCCAUGGUAAGUCUUUUGGAUAAUUUUUAUCAAUAGCUAUCAAAAACUAAAAGCUUCAAUAUAUGUGCUUAAUAUGAAUGUAAGUUCUCAUGAUGUCUUCCUCUGUCUUGAAAUAUUUUCAUUGUGAUGUGCAUGUCAAACUUUGAUCACCAUUUUUCUUGUUUGGGAUGGUUGUAAGUGGUUGGCAAUAGCCACCAUAAUAAGUUUGUUCUUACUGAUGCAGGAAAGAGGAGAAGUUGAUUGGAAUAAAUUAAAGAUAGAAACUUAUGAGUUGGCAGAAGAAUGCUUGCAAAUAAACUACUAUGGUGCUAAAAAAACGGCUGAAGCACUUAUCCCACUCCUCCAGUUAUCUGACUCACCGAGAAUUGUUAAUGUUUCCUCUUCCUUGGGGAAGUUAAAGAACAUACCUAGUGAUUGGGCUAAAGGAGUUUUUACUGAUGCUGAUAACCUAACAGAAGAGGGAGUAGUUGAGGUACUGACUGAGCUUCUAAAAGCCUUCAAGGAGGGUUCACUUGAAAGUAAGGGCUGGCCUUCUUCUUUGUCUGCCUAUAUAGUCUCAAAAGCUGCACUAAACGCUUAUACAAGGAUUCUAGCAAAGAAGUACCCCGAUAUUCGUAUCAAUUCGGUAUGCCCCGGCUUUGUCAAAACAGAUCUAAACUCCAAUGCCGGCGUCUUGCCUGUCGAAGAAGGUGGUGCCAGGGUUGUGAGUAUAGCAUUGCUGCCCAAUGAUGGCCCUUCUGGUUCCUUCUUUGUUCAGUAUGAAGUGUCAGAUCUUUGAUUGAAGAUGAUCCAUUUAUGCAAAUUUAAUACAUGUCACUUGUUGGGCAGCAUCUUGAACUUUGAUGUAAUUUAAGUAUAUUUGGAACCAGCAGCGGAUCCUUUUUAUGUUCUUUCUACAUUCAAUAAGAGGAUGGCAUAUAUGAUGCUUAUUGUUGUAGCCAUAUUUAAUUGUGCAACAUUCUCUAUCUAAUAGUCCUCUAUGAUUGCAUCUUUAUGAAAUUAUCUCCCACAUCUGGAAUUGAUUGAAGCAUCUGGUGCAUUGUUUGUUUACAUUUCUACUAUUCAUCUGCCUCUUGAACUCAUGUUAUCAUUUGCAUUGUUAUUCAGUCAGAAAUUCUAUGUGAUUCAUGUUCAUCCUUUGAUCGAUAUUAUUGAUGGUAUAUUGAUAACAUUUAGGUAUAUUUUGUGACAUAUGUCAGAGAAUAAUAUUGACACCUUCUGCAGUCAAUUGUUUAAAAAAACAAAAAGACAACAUAGGUCUCGUUAACAAUUAUGUAAUUUUGGAGCGGUUAAAUUCACCAAUCUUGCCGACGAAACUGCUUCAGCCUUGGCAUGUGGUUGAUGGUUGAGUUAAGCUCUCUCUGCUCUGCCACCACCACCAAAAUGCUUAAACAAUGGGAGCACUUGCGUCACCACCCCCAUUCUUUUCCUUAAUUCUUAAAAGAAAAAUCCAAACAAAUGUUGUUUUCCCAUCAGAUUACUUCUAGGAAACAUUCGACGCAAGCAUCCUCCCUCCAGUAUAGGAACAAACGAGUCUUAACAAUUUUCUUGCUCUUAUUAUUAUUUAUUUGAAUAUCAAACUUGAAAUGUGCAAAGGUUUUCCCACAGACAGACGAUCCCAUAAACGAAUCAGCAAUGGCAGAAGCAAGAAAGAGGUGGCACCUUAGAGUCCAUACCCUUUGAUUACUUCUAUAACAAUUUCUCACUCUUGUUUUUGUUUCCUUUUUGCUUUCCUAUUUUUGUUAUGAAAUUGGUGUUUCUUCUUUUGUUUUUCCAGGUAUGCAGUUGUUACUGGGGCAAACAAAGGCAUAGGAUUGGAAACUGUCAGGCAGUUGGCCUCAAAAGGAUUCACUGUAGUCUUAACUGCCAGAGAUGAGAAGAGGGGUCUUGAAGCUGUUGAGAAAUUCAAAGAAUCUGGCCUCUCAGGUCAAGUGGUUUUUCAUCAACUUGAUGUGGCUAACCCUGCUAGUCUUGCUCCUUUGGCAGACUUCAUCAAAACCCAGUUUGGGAAACUCGAUAUCUUGGUAUGUAUGAUCAUAGCUACAGGGUUAAUGUAAAAUUGAGUGAUCUAUAUCAUGCUUAUUGUGUCCACUUCCAGUUGUGGAAGAUUUUACUUUGAAGUCUAAAUCUAACUCUAACUAUAUGAAAGAUCAGUGACUGGAAUUAAGUGGUGUGACAAAGUAGCAUACUUAUUGGCCUUCUUUGAAGAGCACUGGUUGGUUAUAGCAGAUAGUUUAUCCAAGUAAUCAAAGCAUCUACCAACUUUCUUUUAAUUCCAUCUUGUAGAUGUUUUUUUCUUUGCUUUUGUUUGCAAAAGUAAAACAAGUAGUGAAACAGUUGGACUCUGCACAGGUGAACAAUGCAGGGAUUGGUGGAAGCACAGCGGAUCCUGAUGCCUUUAGAGCUGUAGUAGAGUCUGGUGCCUUUGUAAGUCUUUCAGAUAAUUCUUAUCAAUAGCUACCAAAAACUUAAAGCUUUAAUGUAUGUGUUUAAUGUGAAAAUUUAAAUUGAUCUGUGGUUUGGCUUAAUGCUAUGGCAAUUAGUAGGGGAAAUGAUCUGUGUAACAUCACCAGGCUGGUAUGAUUCGGGUGGGUGUGUAAGUAGUUGGCAAUAGCCACCGUAAUAAGUUUGUUCUUACUGAUGCAGGGAAGAGGAGAAGUUGAUUGGAGUAAACUAAGUACUGAAACUUAUGAGUUGGCAGAAGAAUGCUUGCAGAUAAACUAUUAUGGUGCUAAAAGAACAGCUGAAGCACUUAUCCCACUCCUCCAGUUAUCCGAUUCACCGAGAAUUGUUAAUGUUUCGUCUUUCAUGGGGAAGUUAAACAACAUACCGAGCGGUUGGGCUAAAGUAGUUUUUACUGAUGCAGAAAACCUAACAGAAGAGAGACUAGAUGAGGUACUGACUGAGCUUUUAAAAGCCUUCAAGGAGGGUUCACUUGAAAGUAAGGGCUUUCCUUCUUCUUUGUCAGCCUAUAUAGUCUCAAAAGCUGCACUGAACGCAUAUACUAGGAUUCUAGCAAAGAAGUACCCCACUUUUCGUAUCAAUUCGUUAUGCCCUGGCUUUGUCAAAACAGAUAUAAACUACAAUGUCGGUGUCCUACCUGUCGAAGAAGGGGCUGCAAGGGUUAUGAAGUUAGCAUUGCUGCCCAAUGAUGGCCCUUCUGGCUCCUUCUUUGUUGAGUACGAAGUGUCAGAUUUUUAAUUGAAGAUGAUCCGUUUAUGCAAAUUAAAUACAUGUCAUUUAUUUGGCAGAAUCUUGAAUUUCUAAUGUAACAAAGUGUAUUUGGACCCAGCACCAGAUCCCUUUUAAGUUCUUUCUACAUUCAAUAUGACUCGAGGACAACAUACAAUAGUCUUGUAUGAUUGCAUCUUUGUGAAAUUAUCUUCCACAUAUGGAAUUGAUUGAAGGAUCUAAUACAUUGCUUGUUUACAUUUCUACUUAUCAACUGGCUGUUGAACUCAUAUUAUCAUUUACAUUAUUAUUCAACCAGAAAUUCUAUAUGAUUGAUAUCCAUUCUUUGAUCGAUACUAUCAAUAACAUUUUGGUAUAUUUUGUUAUGGAUAUGCUGACAACAAUUAUAUUAACACUUAAUCCACAAUUCUUUCAUUAAUUAAGAAAUGACGUAGGUAUAAAGAAGAAUUGAUUAUCCAACAAUCCCUCAUUCCCUCGUUCCAUCAAUAUUAUUGUAUUCAAUUGUUUAAUAAAGAAAAAGACAAUUGUCAUGUUCAAUGCAAAACUGCUUAAGACUUCGCAUGUUACGACUUUUUUGCCUAUACACACCAAUGGUAGUUGAGACAUUGGGGAAGCCCUUGUGAACAUGUUGUUGAAAGGUCUCUCUGGUCUGUCAACGUGUGCACUUGCGUCACUACCUUCUCCUUUUCCUUAACGAAAAUUCUACAGAGAAAAAUCCAAGCAAAUGCUGUUCUAUCUAUCUUUCCCAUUCAAAUGAUGUCAUAUCUCACUAUAUCUCACCAAACCCAGUUAUUAACUUAUUAUUACUUUCAUGACCCAAAAAAGAAAAAGUUACUUUUACGUUUUCCGUUUUUUGCUAUACCACUUUUUUGUCAGUAAGGACACAAUUGUACUUUUAUAAAUCCAAACUAACAAACGCCAUAAUGGGCUUACUCAUUGACUAAAAACUAACAAAAAUAUAAAAUCACUUGAGCAAGACCCAAAAGUAUAUAGGGUAUUUAGAAGAUCUUAAUUAGUGCAUUUCCACAUGUAAGCUUAUAAAUAGGACCGAAAUAUAGAAGAAUUCUACAAUAAAUUUUAGGAAAAAUUCAAUUUGUCUUUCAAAAUUAAAAUAAGGAGUUAAAUUCUUAUUACGGAUACUUCUAUGUUUUUUCCACAUUGAGAAACUAAAAAUACAAAUGACACCCACAAAAAAAGUAAAAAUUCAAUUCUUGAGUAGGGCAGCCGCAUGUGAAAUCACACUCGCAAAGAGUUAAGACCCACAUUCAGAGGGUCUCACCCUUAUUUGAGUGCCACCGGUGCCGCGGUCCUGUUUAAGAUUUUUUUCCUAUCAAAAGGUGAAGGUUGCCACAAGUAAAUUAAUGUAUGUAUUUUAUAUCUAGUGGGGAUGAAAAAGUAAGGUGAUCCAUGUUUCUAUAGGAUAUUAUUAUUUACAUUAUUAGUCAAUUAGAGUAGUCACAUCCACACCAGUCUUUGCAUGCGAAACUGCUUACUGCCCUGCAACUGCCUUCACCAAAAUUCUCCCACAAACCCAUUAUUUUCCUUUAAAAUCUUAAAAACAAAAUUUGGUCCCUCUGUCGCCACAAUUUCUAAUUAAUGUUAGAAAACACUAGAAGCAUAUAGGAACAAAAGAAUCAAAAUUUUCUUCUUCGUAUUAUUUAUUUGAAUAUGACCUCAAAAGUCAAAGGCUUUCCAAGAACAUUCACUAUAAAAGAAAAGAAGGCUCCUUCUGUUUAACACACAUCUCAAUUCUCACAGACCGUCCCGUUUCGAAUCUAUCAAUGGCAGAAGCAACAAAGAGGUAGCACUUUAGACUUCAUUAUGCUUUGUUUCCUUGUCCGAUUUCCAAUCCCUUUAAUUGUUUUUGUUUCUAUGAAUUUGGUGUUUGUGUUUUCUUAGGUAUGCGGUUGUUACUGGAGCAAACAAAGGUAUAGGAUUGGAAACUGUAAGGCAGUUGGCCUCAAAUGGGUUCACCGUAGUCUUAACUGCCCGAGAUGAGAAGAGGGGUCUUGAAGCUGUUGAGAAACUCAAAGAGUCUGGCCUCUCAGGUCAAGUGGUUUUUCAUCAACUUGAUGUGGUUGACCCUGCUACUGUUGCUUCUUUGGCAGACUUCAUCAAAACCCAGUUUGGGAAACUCGAUAUCUUGGUAUGUAUAUGAUCAUAGCUACAGGUUUCUUGAAAAAGUUUCUGUCUUUUGAAUCUAACUCUUAAUCCGAAUGUGAUUUAGUUGGAGGAGAUGAAAUAUGGAAUUGGAAAAUGAAAAUAGCAAACCAAGUAAUAACUAGCUUAGUAAUAUCUUCAACAAGUUAAUCUUUGAAAUAAUUAGAAGUCUUAGGCUUUUUGAAGAACAAAACAAGUUUCACAUAACUACCAGUCUGCCACUCUGUUUUUGUUUCUUGGAAUCUUUUCAUAUAUGAUAUGAUCCCUUUCUGUACAAUUUAUAAGUACCCUAGAAAGAUCAGUGGCUGGAGUUACGGGGUUUGGCAAAGUGGCAUAAUUAUUGGGCUUCUUUAAAGGGCAUUGGCCUUUAUGGUUAGUUUGGUUUUAACAACAAAGAGAUUGUAAGAGUAAUCAGUGGAUCUAUCAACUUUCUUUUCCUUUCAUUUUCGAUUUUCUGUUCUUUUCUUUGCUAAAAGAAAACAGAUAGUGAAACAGUUGGACUCUGCACAGGUGAACAAUGCAGGGGUUGGUGGAAGCAUAGUAGAUGGUGAUGCUUUUAAAGCUUCUGUAGCCUCCGGUGCCACGGUAAGUCUUUUGUAUAAUUUUUUAUCAAUAGCUAUCAAAAACUAAAAGCUUCAAUGUAUGUGCCAAAGUGAGAAUUUAAACUGAUCUGUGGUUUGGCAUACUUUAAUCAACGUUUUUCUUGUUUGGGGUGGGUGUGUAAGUGGUGGGCAAUAGGCACCAUAAUAAUAAGUUUGUUUUUGCUGAUACAGGAAAGAGGAGGAGUUGAUUUUAGUAAACUAGUGACUGAAACUUAUGAGUUAACAGAAGAAUGCUUGCAAAUAAACUAUUAUGGUGCUAAAAGAACAGCUGAAGCACUUAUCCCACUCCUCCAGUUAUCUGACUCACCGAAAAUUGUUAAUGUUUCUUCUGUCAUGGGGAUGUUAAACAACAUACCAAGCGAUUGGGCUAGAGGAGUUUUUACUGAUGCCGAAAACCUAACAGAAGAGAGAGUAGAUGAGGUACUGACUGAGCUUCUAAAAGAUUUCAAGGAGGGUUCACUUGAAAGUAAGGGCUGGCCUUCUUCUAUGCCUGCCUAUAUAGUCUCAAAAGCAGCACUGAACGCAUAUACAAGGAUUCUAGCAAAGAAGUACCCCACUUUUCGUAUCAAUUCAGUCUGCCCUGGCUUUGUCAAAACAGAUAUAAACUACAAUGUCGGUGUCCUACCUGUCGAAGAAGGGGCUGCAAGGGUUAUGAAGUUAGCAUUGCUGCCCAAUGAUGGGCCUUCUGGUUCCUUCUUUGUUCAGUAUGAAGUGUCAGAUCUUUGAUUGAAGAUGAUCCAUUUAUGCAAUUUUAAUACAUAUCACUUGUUGGGCAGCAUCUUGAACUUUGAUGUAAUUUAAGUAUAUUUGGAACCAGCAGCAGAUCCUUUUUAAGUUCUUUCUACAUUCAAUAUGACUCGAGGACGACAUAAAAUAGUCCUGUAUGAUUGCAUCUCUGUGAAAUUAUUUUCCACAUCUUGAGUUGAUUGAAGGAUCUAAUACAUUGCUUGUUUACAUUUCUACUUAUCAACCGGCUCUUGAACCCAUAUUAUCGUUUACAUUAUUAUUCAACCAGAAAUUCUAUGUGAUUGAUAUCCCUCCUUUAAUCGAUACUAUCAAUAACAUUUUAGUAUAUUUUGUUAUAGAUAUGUUGGCAACAAUUAUAUUAAUCCUUUAUCGACAAUCUGUCAUUAAUUAAGAAAUAACAUAGGUAUUAAUUAAGAAAUAACAUAGGUAUAGAGAAGAAUUGAUUAUCCAACAAUCCGUCAAUCUGUCAAUCCAUCAAUAUUAUUGUAUUCAAUUGUUGAAUAAAGAAAAAUGACAAUUGGCAUGUUCAAUGCAAAACUACUUACGACUUUGCAUGUUACGACUUUUUUGCCUAUAUACUCCAACGGUGGCUGAGCCCCUUUUAGGGGCCCCACUGGGGAAGCCCUUGUGAACAUGUUGUUGAAAGGUCUCUCUGGUCUGUCAACGUGUGCACUUGCGUCACUACCUUCAUACUUUUCCUUAAUACUCCAAGCAAAUGUUGUUCCAUCUUUCCCAUUCAAUGACUUCUAGAAAACAUUACAGGCAAGCAUUCUUUCUCCAGUAUAGGAACAAACGGCUUUUCAAGAACAUUUUACUAUAAAACAAAAGAAGCCUCCUUCUGUUUAGUCUCACUUCUCACAGACCGUCCAAUUAUCGAAUCAUCAAUGGCAGAAGCAACAAGGAGGUAGCACUUUAGAGUCCUUUAUGCUUUGGUUCCUUGUCACAUCUCCAUUCCCUCUCAUUGUUUCUGCUUAUCAUUUUUGUGUUACGAAUUUGGUGUUUUUGUUUUUCCAGGUAUGCAGUUGUUACUGGGGCAAACAAAGGCAUAGGAUUGGAAACUGUGAGGCAAUUGGCCUCAAAUGGAUUCACUGUAGUCUUAACUGCCAGAGAUGAGAAAAGGGGUCUUGAAGCUGCUGAGAAACUCAAAGAGUCUGGCCUCUCAGGUCAAGUGGUUUUUCAUCAACUUGAUGUGGCUGACCCUGCUACUGUUGCUUCCUUGGCAGAGUUCAUCAAAACCCAGUUUGGGAAACUCGAUAUCUUGGUAUGUGUAUGAUCAUAGCUGCAGGUUUCUUGAAAAAGUUUUGGUCUUUUGAAAUAAUUAGAAGUCUCAGGCUUACACAAUAUCCACACAGGUGAAGGUUACAUUAGAGACUGUAAAAUUGAUCAUAUCAUGCUUGCUUAUUGUGUCCACUUCCAGUUGUGGGAGAUUUUACUUUCAAGUCUAACUAUAAGAUAUGAACCCUCUGUACAAUUUACAAGUACCCUAGAAAGAUCAGUGGCUGGAGUUAAGGGAUUUGGCAAUGCCUUGAUGGUUGGUUAUAGAACCAUAUAGAUUAUCUUAGUAACCCGAGGAUGUACCAACUUCUUUUAAUUGCAUUUUCUACAAUUUUCUUUUCUUUGCUAAAUUAAAAUAGGUAGUGAGACAGUGGUUUCUGCACAGGUGAACAAUGCAGGGAUUGGUGGAGCCAUAGGAGAUGCUGAUGCCUUUACAGCUUUAGUGAAGUCUUUCGACAUGGUAAGUCUUUCGAAUUAAUUUUUUCAAUAGCUAUCAAAACCUAAAAGUUUCAAUGUAUGGCUUGAAAAUUUUUCAUUGUGAUGUUCAUGUCAAACUUUGAUCAACAUUUUUCUUGUUUGUGGUGGCUGUGGGCUAUAGGACCAUAACAAUAAGUUCGUUCUUACCGAUACAGGGGAGAGGAGAAAUUGGUAGUAAACUAAUGACUGAAACUUAUGAGUUAACAGAAGAAUGCUUGCAAAUAAACUAUUAUGGUGCUAAAAGAACAGCUGAAGCACUUAUCCCACUCCUCCAGUUAUCUGACUCACCGAGAAUUGUUAACGUUUCGUCUUUCCUGGGGAAGUUAAUGCAUAUACCAAGCGAUUGGGCUAGAGGAGUUUUUACUGAUGCUGAAAACCUAACAGAAGAGAGAGUAGAUGAGGUACUGACCGAGCUUCUAAAAGAUUUCAAGGAGGGUUCACUUGAAAGUAAGGGCUGGCCUUCUCCUUCGUCUGCCUAUGUAGUCUCGAAAGCUGCACUGAACGCAUAUACAAGGAUUCUAGCAAAGAAGUACCCCACUUUUCGUAUCAAUUCGUUAUGCCCUGGCUUUGUCAAAACAGAUAUAAACUACAAUGCCGGUGUCCUACCUGUCAAAGAUGGGGCUGCAAGGGUUAUGAAGUUAGCAUUGCUGCCCAAUGAUGGCCCUUCUGGCUCCUUCUUUGUUCACUAUGAAGUGUCAGAUUUUUAAUUGAAGAUGAUUGUUGUGAAAUUUAUUGCAAGCGCACAAUUCGCACAAGUAAUACAGUGAUGAGUGAAGUGUCGUUCCCACGAAGAGUGAUUUAAUUUACUAAGUACCGAUUGUGAGAAAAAUAAAAGCAAGCGUAGAGAAAUAAAGUAGUGAGAUUCAAGUUAUGAGAGCACUAGAGCUUCCGAUUUCACCAUAGCCAAUUUUACCCAAUUCCCUUAGCAUGUUAAUCCUAAUUAUUCUCUAUGUAGACAGUUGAUUUUCCCUACUUUAUUCGAUACUCCAUCCCUGGUUAUAUCAAAAGUAUUCUUAUUACCAACCCACUCUAUCCCUAGUAAUGGAAUUAAGAUAAUAAGAACCCAUUAAAUUCCUUGGAAACCCUACAAAACAACCACAUAAGUCACGACAAACAUCCAUGUCUAAUCAUGUAACUCAUGGCAUCUAUUACAAGAAGCAACCCCAAAUUGGAUAUCCCUGUCGUCAAUUUAGCAUCAAAACAAUUAAAUGUUGGCCAAACAUUCAAAGCAUUAAGCAUGGUACUCAACAUGGAAAAAUACUUGGAAUUAACAUUGACUAAAGUAAUUGAGUAUUCAUGGCUAGGCUACAUCGUAGCACUGGUAAGAAGAAAUUAGUUCAUGAAAACUUUAAUAAAAACCAUGAUAAAUAGUAUCAUAGGAAAGAAAAAAACCAAUUGAAGAUUUGAUCUCUGCACGACACCAACUCUAGCUCCAGGUCGUCUUCUUUGUCUCUCUAAAACUCUCUCUCCUUUGAGUGUUUCGGCUAUAAGUAUGAAUGUGUAGGAAUUUGUGAGGCUAGAUGAUGGAGGAUGGUGGGUAAUGGAUUCUUUGAACAAUGACCUAAACUCCCUAUUUAUAAAACUCUUAGGAAUCCUACCUAAUGAAUAAUUACAAUUGUUAUAAAAAUAGGAUUCCUUCUAAUAUAAGGUCUUCUUUAUUCCUCCUUGUUUGACUUGAUAAGACUUGAACCAUCUUGAACUAAGAAAUUUGACAACAUUCCUUGCAACAAAAGGAAUGACUUGGCUUCUUUUUAAUUGAUCUCCAAUCUUCAUCUUCUUGCCUUUUUUUAGCACACUUUCUCCUAUUUCAUAAUUCCUUCACAAAUCUCACAAAACCAAUUAAAAACAACUAAUUUAAUCCAAGAAAUUAAUAAAUAAAUAAGCAAAUGAGGCAUAAAAUAUAUAUAUAUAAAAUAUAGACUUAUCAAUGAUCCAUUUAUGCAAAUUAAAUACAUGUAAUGUAUUUGGCAGGAUCUUUAACUUUUAAUGUAACAAAGUAUAUUUGUGACAGGACCCGCCCCGAAUUUUCCGAAAUUCUAGAUGAAUCCUGUGGAAUUCCCGACAUCACCCCGAUGCCGAGCCCACUUACUAAGGACCGGGACUUUCUGCCGAAAUUUCAGCAGAGUCUCCCUUGUAAAUUGAUCAUUCCCCAAAUUUUUUAACCUGUAUAAAACACAUUUGAUAUCCACAACUGGCAGCAUGCACAAGAUAAUUUCAUGCAAAUCACAUAAUCGGCCUCCGGCCUUCAAAUAAUUCGAAACUAAACCACCAACAAACUCUAAACACAAUUAUGAACGCCAAAUGCGAUUUCCAUCAUCUAAAUUCCCAAAUAUUGAACGUACAAAAUUAAACCUCCUAACAAGACUACAUCUCAUUUUCACCUAAAUUUCAGGACCAACAAGAAAGUCCAAACCAAUCUUCAUCACACAACAUGAGUAAAGUUUAGCCCGCGGCUGUACCUAGGCACUACCCUAGGCUGCCUACGUACCCUUACUAAGGGAUCAAGCCACACGUAGUUCUUUCCAUACAAAAUUUCCAAAUCCAUCAACAUGCAAUCAAUUCUAGAAAUCCCCGCCCGAAAAUCCUACGCCACGUGUGACUUAACCAUCAUGUCAUCUCCCCAUACGCCGGAAAUUCCAACGCCACGUAUGGGAUUUGUCUUAACGUCGGAAAAUCCUACGACAAGCGAGACCUAACAAUCACAUAAUCUCCCCAUAUGCCGGAAAUUCCAACGCCACAUAUGGGGUCUGUUAGCACGCCGGAUAACCUAUGCCACGUGUGACCUAACAAUCAUAGCAUCUCCCCAUACGCCAGAAAUUCCAACGCCAUGUAUGGGGUCUGUCCUCACGCCGGAUAACCUACGCCACGUGGGACCUAACAAUCACAUAAUCUCCUCAUAUGCCGAAAAUUACAACGCCACAUAUGGGGUCUGUCAGCAUGCCGGAUAACCUACGCCACGUGUGACCUAACAAUCAUAGCAUCUCCUCAUACGCGCGGAAAUUCCAACGCCACAUAUGGGGUUUGUCCUUACGCUGGAUAACCUACGUCACGUGGGACCUAACAAUCACAGGGUAAUACUUAGGGUAGUGUGUAUAGCACUUCAAACUGACAUACUCUCAAUUAUCUAAACUAAUACUAGAGGUAUUCCCACUUUAGUGAUACCAGUCUAUAGUAGACUGCAACGUAAUUUAAUCAGGAAAGUAAUAUUAUUUUUAGACCAAUGAUCAUGCACAUAAACAUAAAUUUCAUAAUUUCAAUUAUUAAAACAAUAUCUAAGAGUUUCCUACAAUAAUAAUAAACACUCUAAAAAAUCUCAACCUAGUCAACAUAGCUCAACAACGCUCAAGACCUGUCACUAGGGUCAUUAUAAUCCUUCUAGGAAGGUAAAACUACCUCCGAAGACUCACGGUCAACCAAGGGUCAAACUACCCAAACUUGGUCAAAUGGGCCCACGGGGCCCAUGACCUCCAAAUUCCGAUCCUAAAGUUCCUAUGUGUUCUACAAGGCUUAUGACACAUGUUCUGCAAUCUGGACCAAACUUGCAGAACGUCCGGGGUUCCGAUUCACACAUAAACUUUAAGUUAUUAAAUCGGAACAUCCGGGGCUCCGAUUCACGAUCCAUGAAUUCCUACACGAUCCUAGAAAUUCCUAGGUUAACACAUAUCAAAUUCGAGACCAUCCAAAGGUCCAAACCUAUCGAGCCCGGAUAACACGCAAUAGGCGAUAUCCGUUCGAGACUCAAACGGUAUCCAAAUUGAAAUCCGAGCACACCUACGCACUCGUGAGGACCGGGAGAUUACAUCGGGAUAUAGUGCCCUUUUUCUACAGUGCCCACUCGCCGCCGCACGCGCCGGCAGCGCGUGGGUGCCCAAAGCGAUUACGCAUCGCUGAAAAAUCCCAAAACCACGGCUCCAAACUCCUACCCUAGGUAUAUUUGGAACCACUUUUGUUCUGGACCUACCCCAAAAACUGACCGGAAGUGGCCGGAAUCGCGAUCCCAAAAUCGGCCGAACCCUAAAUCCAAAAUCGAACGACUUAGGCUAAAAAUAAAUGUAAUCCUGCCCAACCAUCAGCUAGAGCAUGGAACAUAGGUAGAAAUCCAUGCCUUACUCGUCAAAUUUGGAGGAAAAAUGAGGGAGAACUAACGGUUUGAAAAUCUGUGAAAACCGACUCGUUUUCUGCAGAUUCCGGCGGCUAGAGUGGCUAACGGAGGCAGAGACCGGGUGGGAUGAGAAGAGGAGGAGGUGGCAGUUCGAACAAGACUGGUCUCGAGGCCGGUUGUUGACGAUGGCGACGGCAGUGGCUCUUGGAAGCCACGGCUGUGCAGAAAACAGAAGGUAGGAAGGUCACUACGCGCGCAGGGAGAGAGAGAGAGAGAGAGAGAGAGAGAGAGAGAGAGAGAGAGAGAGAGAGAGAGAGAGAGAGAGAGAGAGAGAGAAAAUCUGGUUUUUAAAAACCAACUUCAAAAUAUUUACAGUUUUGCCACUGAGCUUGUUUUGCUCGUAACUUCUUCGUUACAACUCCAAAUCGAGUCCACCACAUGUCUACGGACUGACCUCACCGUGCUCUACGCAACGGUAUAGUCGAAAUUCUCAAAUUCCUUCCCGGUCAAAAAGUAAACUUUAGACCUAAUAAAAUAUUUUAGGGGCAAAAUGGUAUUUUCUUUGAAUAAAUUAGUAUUUACUAAUUUAUUUAGGACCGGGUCGAUACAAUUUGGACCCAGCAACAGAUCCUUUUUAAGUUCUUUCUACAUUCAACAUGACUCGAGGAUGGCAUAGAUUCAAUAGUCCUGUAUGAUUGCAUCUCUAAUACAUUGCUUGUUUACAUUUCUACUUAUCAACUGACUCUUGAACCCAUAUUAUCAUUUACAUUAUUAUAAUCAGAAAUUCUAUGUGAUUGGUGUCCAUCCUUUGAUCAAAAUGAUCAAUAUCAUUUCGGUAUAUACUUCUUAUGGACAUGUUGACAACAAUUAUAUUAACAUGUUAUUGACAAUCCGUUAUUAAUUAAGAAAUGACAUAGGUGUACAGAAGAAUUGAACAUUCAAUUGUUUGUUUAAUAAAGAAAAAGACAACAUGAGUCUCUUUAACAAUCAUGUUUUUGGAUUGGAGCAGCCUAAUUCACCAAUGAUCAUGCACAUAAACAUAAAUUUCAUAAUUUGAACAACUUGGGCACUUGCGUCACUAUCCCCCUCUUUUUCCUUAAUACUCCGAAACAAAAAUCCGAGCAAAUGUUGGUCCAUCUGUCCCAUUCAAUGACUUCUAGAAAGCAUUAUAGGAACAAACGAAUCGAUUUGAAUAUAAUACUCAAAAUACAAAAGCUUCCCAACAACUUCACGUUAUAAAAGAAAAUAAAGAUCCUUCUGUUUAGUCUCAUUUCUUACCCCUGCUUUUUUCCGAGAAAGAUACAUUUAGGCUUUUAUUAUCUUCUUAUUCAUUCAUAUCGUGGAUGUAGACAUUGCUUGUCACGUGCGUGCGUACGUCUCCAUAAUUGACUUGAGGCUAGCUUUUCAAUUACUCAUGUAGAAUUUUUUUUUUUCAAGUGCCCAUAGAGAUAAGACUUCCAUAUAUGGGGCUCACCUCAAUUAAAAAUGUAGUUAGUAAAGUGGUACACGAUUGUUUUUAUAUAUGCUCAGAUAUUUAAUUUUACAAAAAUAAUGCAUCCAACUAACUCAACCAAAAAAGUUGCAUCCAAUUAAUUAUGUUCUUAGAAUAUCGAUACAAAAUAAAUUAGGUGUUAAAAAGAUAUUUAUUUUUGCAAAAAUAAUGCAUCCAACUAACUCAACUAAAAAAGUUGCAUCCAAUUAAUGAUGUUCUUGGAAUAUUGAUACAAAAUAAAUUAGGUGUUACAAAGAUAUUUAUUUUUGCAAAAAUAAUGCAUCCAACUAACUCAACCAAAAAAGUUGCAUCCAAUUAAUGUUGUUCUUGGAAUAUUGAUACAAAAUAAAUUAGGUGUUAAAAAAUAUUUAAUAUCUAAAUAUGAUCUAUUACGACUUAUCGUCACAAUCAUGGUAAUUAUUCAAAAGGUGUAACAUCCCUUAUACAAUUUAAUCGAUUUAAUCAAAUUUAAUUCUUUUGUGAAAUUUCAAUUUUGCCCUUGGGAGUAGGGGUACUUUGGUCACUUUAAGAAAAAAAAAACAUUUAUUGUAUGGUAUUACGUAAUGAUGUAAGUUUGUGUUAUUUUAUGUGAGGCCCCAAUUUAAGGUUAGCACAGGGCCCUCAAAAUCUCAAGACCGGCCCUGGGCCCCGUUGGGGAAGCCCUUGUGAACAUGUUGUUGAAAGGGCUCUCUGGUCUGUCAACGUGUGCAGUUGCGUCACUACCUUCAUCCUUUUCCUUAACACUCCAAGCAAAUGUUGUUCCGUCUUUCCCAUUCAAUGACUUCUAGAAAACAUUACAGGCAGGCACUCUUUUCUUUCUCCAGAAUAGGAACAAACGGCUUUUCAAGAACAUUUUACUAUAAAACAAAAGAAGCCUCCUUCUGUUUAGUCUCAUUUCUCACAGACCGUCCCAUAUCGAAUCAUCAAUAUGGCAGAAGCACCAAAGAGGUAGCACUUUAGAGUCCUUUAUGCUUUGGUUCCUUGUCACACCUCCAUUCCCUCUCAUUGUUUCUGCUUAUCAUUUUUGUGUCAUGAAUUUGGUGUUUUUGUUUUUUCCAGGUAUGCAGUUGUUACUGGGGCAAACAAAGGCAUAGGAUUGGAAACUGUGAGGCAAUUGGCCUCAAAUGGAUUCACUGUAGUCUUAACUGCCAGAGAUGAGAAAAGGGGUCUUGAAGCUGCUGAGAAACUCAAAGAGUCUGGCCUCUCAGGUCAAGUGGUUUUUCAUCAACUUGAUGUGGCUAACCCUGCUACUGUUGCUUCCUUGGCAGAGUUCAUCAAAACCCAGUUUGGGAAACUCGAUAUCUUGGUAUGUGGAAGAUUUUACUUUCAAAUCUAACUAUAUGAUAUGAACCCUCUGUACAAUUUACAGGUACCCUAGAAAGAUCAGUGGCUGGAGUUAAGGGAUUUGGCAAUGCCUUGAUGGUUGGUUAUAGAACCAAAUAGAUUAUCGAAGUAACCCGAGGAUCUACCAACUUUCUUUUAAUUGCAUUUUCUACAUUUUUCUUUUCUUUUCUAAAUUAAAAUAGAUAGUGAGACAGUUGGCUCUGCACAGGUGAACAAUGCAGGGAUUGGUGGAGCCAUAGGAGAUGCUGAUGGCUAUAUAGCUUUAGUAAAGUCUUUGGAAAUGGUAAGUCUUUCGAAUUAAUUUUUUCAAUAGCUAUCAAAACCUAAAAGGUUCAAUGUGUGGCUAUAAUGUGGAUUUGGGAGUGUGCUAUUUUGCCUCUGCGCCUAUCUGGAUUAGCUCCUUCUUGAUUGAUGAUAUGUUAGGGGUUGUUAGAACCCUUUAGUUUGUGCUGACAGUUUGUAGUCUGUUUGUUUUGGGGUUUGAUCCCCCACUAGUUCAUAAAAUAAAAAAAUAAAAAAAAAGCUUCAAUGUAUGUGCUAAUGUGAAAAUUUCAAUUGAUCUCUGGUUUGGCCAAAGAUCUGUUUCGCUUAAUGCUUUGCUGUUUUUAGUAGGGGAAAUGAUCUGAUUAAUUGAUUUAGGAUUUUUCCAAUAAGCUGCUACCUUUCUGGAUUUACUUAUCUCACCUGAUAAAUCUUUCUGCACUCUAUCCAUAAUUUUUUUUUUGAAGCCCUUUGCUAUAAAUAAAAUAAAUUAUGCACAUAAGUUGUCAUGCUUUCUUCCUCUCUAGCUUGAAAAUGUUUUAUUGUGAUGUGCCAAACUUUGAUCAACAUUUUUCUUGUUUGUGGUGGGUGUGGGCUAUAGAGACCAUAAUAAUAAGUCUGUUCUUACUGAUACAGGGGAGAGGAGAAGUUGGUAGUAAACUAUGGACUGAAACUUAUGAGUUAACAGAAGAAUGCUUGCAAAUAAACUAUUAUGGUGCUAAAAGAACAGCUGAAGCACUUAUCCCACUUCUCCAGUUAUCUGACUCACCGAGAAUUGUUAAUGUUUCGUCUUUCCUGGGGAAGUUAAUGCAUAUACCAAGCCAUUGUGCUAAAGGAGUUUUUACAGAUGCCGAAAACCUAACAGAAGAAAGAAUAGAUGAUGUACUGAGUGAGCUUCUAAAAGACUUCAAGGAGGGUUCACUUGAAAGUAAGGGCUGGCCUUCUUCUUUGUCUGCCUAUGUAGUCUCAAAAGCUGCACUGAACGCAUAUACAAGGAUUCUAGCAAAGAAGUACCCCACUUUUCGUAUCAAUUCGUUAUGCCCUGGCUCUGUCAAAACAGAUAUAACCUACAAUGCCGGUUUCCUACCUGUCGAAGAAGGGGCUGCAAGGGUUAUGAAGUUAGCAUUGCUGCCCAAUGAUGGCCCUUCUGGCUCCUUCUUUGUUCAGUAUGAAGUGUCAGAUUUUUAAUUGAAGAUGAUCCAUUUAU
rnacentral:lncRNA from 1 species